rnacentral:lncRNA from 1 species
AUACACAUCCUUUUCUCUUCGAUCUCUCUCAAUUCACAAGAAGCAAAAUGACGGAUACAGCUAGAACCCAUCACGAUAUCACAAGUCGAGAUCAGUAUCCCCGAGACCGAGACCAGUAUUCUAUGAUCGGUCGAGACCGAGACAAGUAUUCCAUGAUUGGCCGAGACCGAGACCAGUACAACAUGUAUGGUCGAGACUACUCCAAGUCUAGACAGAUUGCUAAGGCUGUUACCGCAGUCACGGCCGGUGGGUCCCUUCUUGUCCUCUCCAGUCUCACCCUUGUCGGAACUGUCAUUGCUCUGACUGUUGCGACUCCUCUGCUUGUUAUCUUUAGUCCAAUCCUUGUCCCUGCUCUCAUCACCGUUGCAUUGCUCAUCACCGGCUUUCUCUCCUCUGGUGGCUUUGGCAUUGCAGCUAUAACCGUCUUCUCUUGGAUCUACAAGUAAGUGGACAUUUAAACAUAUAUUUCAAGUUGUACAAUAUGUUUUAAGAAGCGGUAAUUUAUUAAAUAAAACAUAAUGGUUGAAUAUAGCGACAUGCCUUGUGAGGGGAAAAAAAGUACAAACCAUAAAAUUAUACAUAACCGACAAGUGGAUUUUUAGAUAUUACAUUAAAAUGCCGUUUUACAUCAUCAUUUUGGCUAGCUAUACACAAGACUUGACUUAGCUAGCUUGAUACGUACGUGUAGUAUAUGAUGCAUGCACGUGUGUGUGAAUUGUGAUGAAUAGGUAUGCAACGGGAGAGCACCCACAAGGGUCAGAUAAACUGGACAGUGCAAGGAUGAAGCUGGGAGGCAAAGUUCAGGAUAUGAAGGACAGAGCUCAGUACUAUGGACAACAGCAAACAGGUGGGGAACACGACCGUGACCGUACCCGUGGAACCCAGCACACUACCUAAAUUACGCCAUGACUAUUUUCAUAGUCCAAUAAGGCUGAUGUCGGGAGUCCAGUUUAUGAGCAAUAAGGUGUUUAGAAUUUGAUCAAUGUUUAUAAUAAAAGGGGGAAGAUGAUAUCACAGUCUUUUUUUCUUUUUGGCUUUUGUUAAAUUUGUGUGUUUCUAUUUGUAAACCUUCUGUAUAUGUUGUACUUCUUUCCCUUUUUAAGUGGUAUCGUCUAUAUGGUAAAACGUUAUGUUUGGUCUUUCCUUUUCUCUGUUUAGGAUAAAAAGACUGCAUGUUUUAUCUUUAGUUAUAUUAUGUUGAGUAAAUGAACUUUCAUAGAUCUGGUUCCGUAGAGUAGACUAGCAGCCGAGCUGAGCUGAACUGAACAGCUGGCAAUGUGAACACUGGAUGCAAGAUCAGAUGUGAAGAUCUCUAAUAUGGUGGUGGGAUUGAACAUAUCGUGUCUAUAUUUUUGUUGGCAUUAAGCUCUUAACAUAGAUAUAACUGAUGCAGUCAUUGGUUCAUACACAUAUAUAGUAAGGAAUUACAAUGGCAACCCAAACUUCAAAAACAGUAGGCCACCUGAAUUGCCUUAUCGAAUAAGAGUUUGUUUCCCCCCACUUCAUGGGAUGUAAUACAUGGGAUUUGGGAGUUUGAAUGAACGUUGAGACAUGGCAGAACCCAACAAAUCACUCCAUUGAUCACCUGAAUUGCCUCUGAUCCUAUACCCUUCUUUCACCAUCUCAUCCCUCUUCUCUGACUUGAAUAUGGUCGCCGUUUUGUGGUCAUCAUCCAACGACCUGGUUGCAUACAUCACCAAAUAAAAGCGUUAAGCAUCCAAAUCCAAUGCUAAAUAAUAAUGACGAGAGCAACAUUGUAUUAGAGGAAAAUACAUUGACUCAAGAAAGCUGCCUACCUCAGAAUAAGCUCGUCCCAGUUAUUGAAGCCGGCAUUGAUCAGGUUCUCGAUCGUGAUAACCCUGUGGUUCUCUCUUCGCCCUGUAAGCAGGAUGACUUUGUACCCCAAAUCUUUAACCUUCUCAUAAAGCUUCAAGCUUGGUGCUAUUGCAGGUGCAGCUCCUUUCUCCACCCACUUAUCAAACUUCGUAUGAUCAAAAACUUCCAACCUUCAAAAUUUCCAAAAACAGACAUAGAUUCAUAUCUGAAACAUUUACGGUUAUAUCAUAGAUCCUGUCCUGAAGUUUCCAGACAAGCAAACAAAGUAUAUGACAAAAAAAUACAAUUUUUUUAUUGUAAAGGAAGAAACUUUCAGACAAAACAUUUUACCCACAACCGUGUUCCAAAUAAUAAGGAAGAUUCGACAAGAGAGUCUCGUCAAUAUCGAAGAUCCAAGUAUCCCUCCCAUCGUCCCCGCUAAACCCAAAGCUGCUCGCGUACACGUUAGCCUCUUCCGAGACCCUCUCCAAAUCGACGACGUAGCCUCUACCCAUCAGGUAAUCUUUCACGUAGCCGGCGCAUUCCGCCGGAAUCGUCUUCCACGGCGCGAGAUUGUUCGUCUCCGCCGCGAAUCUCCAGCUCGUGCAAUUCACAUUGACGUUAUCGUCGUCGACGGCGCUCUUGAGCUCGUGUGUGUCGAAGAUCAACGGUCGCGGAAGGACGUACGAGGUGGCGUUUUCGUUUGAAAACGCGAGAGAGAACAAGGACAAGACAAGAAGAAGACUCACAAGCAUCCGCAUCGUGUAAUGCCGGAAACAAAAAGAUGUGAUUUUGAUCAAAUGGGUAUCAAGAAUAUUCAAAAGGGUCUUCAAGAAUCUGAUAAAGUUCCACGAUGGUGAAAGGAAUCAGGACUUAAAGCGAAAUCAGAAGAAAAAUGGAGAGGAGAAGAGUUUCAUUUUCCCAAUCAAGAAGAUAGAAUGGAAUAAAGAAACCCUAGAAACAGCGCGUAGGUACAGAGCUUUUGGAGUCUUGUUUUUUUUUUUGUUGUCAAUGGAGGAGGAAUCUGAGACAGAAAGCUACUGUUUCUUUUUGGGUAAUGAAGACGACAAGAUCCUUUGUUCUCUGUAAUGGCCAUAAAUAAAUAUAGAUAACAAAAAAAAAGGCGUGUGGUUUCGGUUUUUAAUCUGUGACAAUUAAUUAUAAGUUCGGUUUAUCUUUAGAAUCACAAAACAAAAGUUCGCUUCGAAAGAACGGAACAGGAAGAAUACACAGUGGGACGUCUUGCCUUUUAUACACCCAAAAAACGCUACACAGUUUUGGUUUUACUUUAGUCUAGACCUCCACUCCAUGAUGGCUGUGUAAAGAGUAUAGUUGGGCAGAAGGUUCUUGCUAAGUAACGGUGAAUCAGUCAUCGGCGAUGUGUUGUGCUCCUCAAACCACUCCUCUAUCGCACGACGGUCAUAUGUGUAUCCAUCAGCCGCAACGCAUGGCUCGUUCAUUACGUCCUGCAUUGAAUAAACAAGCUCUCACAUUUUAGUAUUCUCAUCUAACCAGUUACUUGACUUGCAAGUAACCAAUGACAUAAAGAACAAGGUUUAUAUAAGAGCUACCUUAAGUAAGGGGCAGAGGAAAUGAAACGGAGGUUGAGUCGGCACACUGGAAAUCGAAUUCCUUGCCUUCUCAGCUACUUUCUUCAGGCUUUCGAGCGCCGGAAGAAUCUGAUCUCUUAAGUCAAGCCUAUCUUUCCCACGUAGGCUCUCAAGCGCCGGAAGAAUCUGAUCUCUUAAGUCAGGCCUAUCUUUCCCACGCAGCUCUGUGCAACAUAGAGCCAAUGAGGUCAGUUCCCUGGUCUCUUCAACUGGCCAGUUACCUGCUUUCUGAUCCAAGAUCUUGAGAAACUCAUCGUUACUAUCCAUUGCACUCUCAACUAAGUGUGUCAAUGCCAUAGGUGGUUUUGCUGUGAGGAGCUGAAGAACUAUCAUUCCAAAUGAAUACACAUCUGAUUUAGAUGAUAUCAUUCCCGUGCGUUGAUACUCUGGAUCCAUGUAACUCAACGUUCCGACAGGGCUUGUUUGUUUGUAAAUAGUGAAUUUAGUUGAUAGAGGGUCGACUUGAACCAUCGUUGAGAGUCCAACGUCUCCGACUUUGCUGACAAAGUUGUGAUCAAGCAAGAUGUUUGCCGGUUUUAGAUCACGGUGAAUGAUCGGUUUAGGUUUCGAUUUGUGGAGGAAGACAAGAGCUGCAGCUACUUCCCAUGCGAUCCUAACCCGCUCAAACCACGGGAGUGGUGGACUGUUGUUGACUUGGAAUAGUCUGUCCUCCAAGCUACCGUUUUCCAUGUACUCAUAAACUAAAGCUCCUUGCUCAGGGCAUGCUCCCAGAAGGAGUACCAAGUGAGGGUGCCGAAUCUUACUCAAGAUUUCGAGCUGCAAAGUAAAAUGAAGCUUCUUAAAAAAAAGAAGUUCCGAAACCGAACCAAAAUUUCAAGCCUAGUUAACCACAUAUAUAGGCGAAUUCCGGUGAGUUAAGCAACCCGGAUUCAAAAUAACCCCACGCACUAAAUAGCCACGCAGAUAUAAGGCCAUUCUUUAGGCUUCAUUUGAAUAUCCGGAGAGAGGGUCUAUCCCUAAACUACAUCUCCUCUUGGAUAACUAGUCCAGACCUUCAAUAGGCCCGGGAUACUCAUAGAUUAAUAAAAAAUAAGUGUUCAAGUCUAGUCCAUACCUCUUGUUGGAACUGUUUGGAGAGACCAUUUUCAGCGGAGUGCAGAACUUUGACAGCUGCGGUUGUAUGAUGCAUAUUACACUUGUAAACAGAUCCAUAAGCUCCCAUUCCAAUCUUCAACUCUUCUGAGAACGAUGAAGUGGCAGCUACAAUUUCUUCCCAAGUGAAGUGCUGAUACUGAAGCCGCGGAGAGCCAAGAGUGUCUUCAAGCUUCUCUUUCUCUUUAGCAUCACGAGCAGCUUUCCUCUCAGCUUCUCUUCUCUGAGCAAUCUCUCUCUCUGCUCUUUCUCUCAUGUUCUCUGCAUCUCUCUUCGCCUUUUCAAAGUUCUGCUUCUCCUUUUCUGCUAAUUCUCGAGCUUCAUACUCCUUUAGCUUUAGCUCUUCAAGCUUUAUGGCUUCUUCUAACCGACGUUGGUUAAGCUCACCAAGCUGAAACGUUGUCAAGAUGCAUUGAAAAAACAAACUAAUAGGUUCAUUGCCAAGUUAUAUAAGACUAUGCGGCCUUUACCUUUCGAGAAGCAUCAAAGGUUUCGGUUUGGGCAGCAGUAUACAUUUCUUGAACAUGUCUAAGCUCAGCUCUCAACUUCUCAACCUCAAAGCUUAGGUUUACCUAAACAAACAACCUUACACUAUUAUUUCAUUUACAAGAAAAUACAAUUUAAAACUCCAUUUUAGUAUACCUGGUUAUCUGUAUAAGAAUGUUCACUUAGAUUAUCAGACAUGUUGGAAGCUUGUUGAGAAGCCCUAGAGUGAGUGGUAUCAAUCACCAUGCCUGUCCAACUAAAUUUACCACCCGCAUUCGCAUAUUCACGGUUGCUAGAUGAAGAACUCAUAGCGUCUUUUCUCUCCUCAUAAUCUCUAAGCCGUGGAGUCCAACGUGAUGUAGUAUCUGUGCUGCUUCUAUUGAUACUCGAAACAUCUUUAGCUUCCUCUGCAUCCAUAGACAUGCACCUGGUGUCAUCCGAGCCAACAGAACUCGUGUCCAUUGGAACUGAUGCUUGUCUACCAAUUGCCGGGACAUGUUGAAAUCUCCUGACCGGAAGGGACAGAGCACGAGAUUGAGAUUGAGAGUCAAGUGCGCUUGAAACUCCAUCUGUUGAUUCUAGAAGAGAAAUGAGGUAUAAAAGUUAGACCUACCCACUAUGUAUGGUAGCAUAUUUAUACAAAAUAGCAAUGUUCAAGAAAUCGCUAGCUAGACGGUAGCUAAGCGUUUUAUAGAAAAUUACUGUUUAGGGAGAUGUCUAGACCGAUUUUUUGAAUGCUUAGAUCGAUUUUUUUAUAAGAUCGUUUCAUUCAGCAACUAGGUGCGGCUUAAACCGAUUUUUAGAACAGUGCAAAAUACAUUGAUGAGUCAUGUACCUGAGUUGGGACCAGAAGAACCACUGGAGGAAUCAGUUCUUUCACUACCAUCAUCUCUUAUAGUUGCAUUGCCGUCUGAGUCUGAUGGCCGGACGCAUGACAAUUUUCCUUUUGAAACAACAUAGACUGUACAAAAGUUCGGCACCAAAGCUGAUAUCGCCGAGCACAUAUCAGCUUUCCUGAAUUUUUCAAAGCAGAUUCAUUGGGACAAGAAACCAAAACAAUAAAAGGUUCAAGGCUAGCAGCUCAUCUGUGUGUAGUGUACCUUGAGAAAAAGCUACGGGAUGAGCCUCCAAUGACAAGUCUCUCUAUUGAAUUCCGAGAAACCACUUCAGCUAUAGCGGCUGCCACAUUAUCUGACUCGAUCACAUGAACUUCUACAGCAACCUUUCUCCGCUCGAACAUUUUCUUAUAAGGUUUAAGAACUUCUUCAGCCUGCCACAGCACUUCCUGUCUAUAUGCAGCUACUACAUCAUCUCGAACCUCGGAUAUAGGGAUUGUAUUUCCCACUUGAGAAUAAGCAACAAAGGAACAUCAGAGUUUUGUCAGUUACAAUAGUCUUUAAGUUUCACAAAUAAACAGAAACAUGAGUCUUAGUUGGAGCUUUACUUGGUGUAGGUACAGAAGUAAUCCUUGGAUGGAUGUGAAGUAGCUUGAAGCCAACAUUGGCUUCAGGAGCAAAUUUUUCAAGCGCCCAUGUAACAACAUUUUUGUUUUUCCUGCUCUCACUAAGAGCCACGAAGACGGUAUGAGAUGGAGGAGGAAAAGUUGGAGGAGGAGGAGGAAGGGCAAGAGUGUCUGGUGAUCUACUCAUAGUCUUUCUUGUUUUCUUCGUUUUGCUUUUACCCUACACACUCAAACCAUUUCAGACACAGCAAAACAAUGUCUUUAAAAGAGAACUUCUUCCUAAAAGUAGAGACAAAACAAGAAACAAAUAGACAUGGCCAGCCCUAAGAUUUAAGGUUCUAUAGGAAUUUUUUAAAAGAUUUCAACUAAAACAAUUUUCGUUAUAAACUUGGAGGCCUAAAAUAUUUUUUCUUAGCACAAUGCUAUUAACCAAGUCGAUCUUCAAGGUAAUAGAUUUGAACCCUUAAUAGUAACUAAAGUGUAAAGCAAGUAACCCAGAAUUUGAAUCUACCUGGUAGGAAGAGACUUAAGUCAAACCCAAGACAGAACAGGAGAGAAGAGGAACGUUAUGCUUCUAUUUCAGAAAAGCAUUUAAUGACAGAAAGAGCAGCCGAAGAAGAAGAAGACCCACGUUCGUGCUGCUAAUCUCAGAUACAAUCAAUGGCUUCUUAUAAUCACAGAAUCUUAUGAAGAUAUCAAAAUUUAUUCGCAAUCAUUUUAGGAUAAAUAAAUUAAAACAAUCAAUCUUAUCUAUCGUAUAUGAUGUAUAAUUAAAUUCUAAGAAAAUGAGACAACUUGCUCGUGUUAUUAUAUCGUCAAAGGAUCACUCCUGGUAUAUACUCUUUUGGUUCUCGACAGAAUUUUCAUUCAUUAUCGUAGUGACAGAAGGGAGUGUGUAAUGAAAGAAUGAAGUAUUCUCUAUUGUUAUUAUUUUAAUCAUGUUUAUCUCCUAACUCCUAUUUAUUCGAUGAUAGUAUUAAUUAAUUAUUACAUUUCUCAACGCUAUUAUUAAAAAACUUACGUUUGCUCUUAGUUGCAGGCAUGACCUUUGCUUUCCUCACGUCUAUAUGUCUCCCCUUUAUAAAAAAUUUAUGUUAUCAGUUUUUUUGUCAACUAUAUUAUCAAUCUUAUAUAAUACAGUAAGAUUUUAGAUUUACGAUUUUGAGUGUUAAUAUUAUUACUAGGAUAAGACAUGCGCCUUGUGCAUGAUAAAUUUAUAUGAAAAUUAUUUAAGAAAUAUCGUAUAGAAAAUAAAAUUUAUAUUAUUGAUCGAAUUAAUAUUUUGGCUCUUAAACAAUUUUUUAAAAACUUUUUUUGCUAAUUACAUAAUUUAUUUACUAAUGAACGGAUCCAAUUUUUAAAAUAUUUUAGGUCAAAAAAUUAUUUAUCGCAUAAAAACCUAACGUUUAGGCCGAAGAAUUUCAUGUCUACUAUUUGGUUACAACGAAACUACGACAGCUCGGUUUUAUAUCAUGAUUUAGCAAUUUAAAAAUUAAUUAUGGUUAUGAUAAGUUUAUGUUCACGUGCCAAUCCGAUCUAUCUUCGAUAUUUUUUUUUGUGUCAUUUUGGUUAUAAAUAUUAAUUUUUAAGUUUAUUCUCAUUUCUUUAUUUUAUUUUGGCUUGAGAUUUAAAAAAUAUUUAAGAUUCAAAAUUAUUAAAGAGAUAUAUACUUAGGUUAUGAUUUGCGUCUUGUGCAGAAUAAAUAUUUUAUAUUUAUUACUUAUUUUAUAUUUUUCUGCAUAUUAUGAAAUAAUAAAAUAAUAAUUAUAUAUUAAAUAACUAAGAAAUCGGUACUAUUAUGUAAUAAAUUGGCUUACACAUAUAAAUCAAAUGACCGCUCUUUUUAUUCGCAAUCAUUUUAGGAUAAAUAAAUUAAAACAAUCAAUCUUAUCUAUCGUAUAUGAUGUAUAAUUAAAUUUAAAUGAUAUGAAGUAUAUAUAUAUAUAUUAACAUAAACACCUAUUAAAAUAAAAUUAUUUAUUUAUAUGAUUUUAUUAUCAUUGUAUCUUAUUAUAGAAAAAAAUUUAAACAUUGAUCACAAAAGUUUAUGUAAGACUUUUAAAAGUUAUAGUAAUUUAUACUUGUUUUAAAAAAUUCAAAAUACAACAUAUACAAAAAAAUAUAAAUUUUUAAUAUAUGAUUAAUGUAAUUGUGUAAUUUAUUUUAAUAAUUAAGAAUUAAACAAAAAUGAUAAAAAAAAAUUACAGAUUAUUAGCAAAUCUUCAUUAUUUAAAAUCAUUAAUUACUAUAUAUAUAUAUCAUAAGCACAUUAGGUAAUUUCGUAGGUUUUAUUUAAGAAAAUAAUAUAUAAUAAAUUUCAAUUUGAUAAAUGAAUGAUCCAUAAUAGACAUACUAUAUAAUAUAAAAUUUCAUAGUAAUUUAAUUUUGGACUAACAAAAUUAAAUUGAUUUUUAAGUCGCCAUGUUAAAAAAUUAACAUUCCAAUUAAGUGACAACUUAGCAUGACAUUUUUUUAAUUAGUACAAACUACAUGUUCUACACUUUUUAAAUGUUUCUCUAUUAAUAUAUAGAGAAUGUUAAACCAUUGAUCAUUAAUUUUUAACAUAAUAAUCUUAACAGUUUAGUAAUUUUGUCAUUUUUUUAAAAUUCAAAAUAUAACAUAUACGAAAAAAUCUAUAUUUUAAUUAUAUGGUUAAUUUGAUUGUUUAAUUUAUUUUAAUAAUAUAAAAUUAAACAAAAACGAUGAAUGAGAUAAAUUGUUAUCAAAUCUUUAUUAUUAGAAUCAUUAAUUGUCAUAUAUAUUAGUGAUAUUUGGUAAUUCCGUAGUUUUUAUUUAAGGAAAAGAAAGAAAAGAGUAAUUAUAUACUUUAAUUAAUUUUAUGAUUAGUUUAAUGAAAAGUAUAAUAUAUACUUAAUUGGACCAACAUAUUUUUUAAAGAUUCUGAAUUUCAUUCUGGUGAAAAUACGUGGUUACAUUUAAAAAUUGUAAUGUUUUUCAAUUAAUAUAUAAGGGAUAACUUAGGUAGAAAAAUAAGGAACUGUGUUUAAUGUGGCACACCUCGCUGUGGUGCGGCCAUAGUGGUACCAAAAUAAAUAAAUAAGGGUAUGUAACUUUCUGUUCUAAAUUGUCAACCUUUUUAACUGGUCGUUUGUUUUACUGCAACAAGAUUUUAUAAUGUUUGCAUCAUUGCAUGUGUUUUGAACAAAUGUCUUUAUCGAAGUUAUAAAAUCCAUCUUCUUGCUUUGGACUUUGGAAACAAGUAAAUCUAGUGAAAGACAACAACAAAAAUUUCCAGUUUCGUUGAUAAGAACAUCUCCAUUGGAAAUAUCUCAAAAUAAGGUUUUCAAUCAAAUUCAAGUAUAUGUAUAUAAAUAUUAAAUUAAAACAUAAAUAUCUCAAAAUCAACCAAAAAGUUUUUCUAUAAAAAAAUUUGGGUUGGAUUUUCCAUAAUUUUAAGAUAUUUAUAUAAUAUUUAUAUUACAUCAAAAUUUGAAAACAUUUUAUGAGAUCCUCAAUAAAGUUGCUCUAAAAGUAUUUUAUUUUGUAGUUUUGCAAAAUGUUUGUUAGUGGUUUAGAAUUUUUAGUUUAGAGUUCUGAACGCUCAAUCUAACCUAUACUAAAAGCAGGAUAUCAAGCCCUCUAAGCGUGUCCACGUCGGAUUAAAAAUUUGGACCAAUCAGAGAGCUUAUAAUUGCCAUGUCACCAUCGCUGAGUUAGACGGACUUUCAUUCGGCCCAUCCACUCACCCAAACUCUGCUCAUUUCAAGCCUUUCGAGUCUCUUCAUCUACGCCGAUCUCUGAGUUUUCUUUGCGUUAUCUUCUAAAUCAAUAAUGAUCUUAAAACUCAUCUUGAAUAUGUUUCGUUCCACCCCCCGAAAAAACAAACUAAUAGGUUAAUUGCCAAGUUAUAUAAGAAAUUAAUUAUUAUUUUCUUUGUUUUGUUUACUCUAUAAAUUUUCCACUCAUUUUCUCUACUUUAAUUUCUUCUCAUUUACUUCAACACCUACCAAUCACACUCUAGAAAAAAUAAUAAGGAAUAAUCACAUUUGUUAGCUAAAUUAGGUAUUUCAAGGAACACCUUGUUUUCGGAAAUUUUCUAGCUCAGCUUUAAGUCUUCAUACACACUGUCCGUUUUUUCAUAGUGACGCCUCUGUAUUUGAGUCCAAAGACUCGAGGCAUCAUUUUUUGUGAGAGGGAAAAAACAAAGAGAUUCAUCAAUGGUUAAUUUGAUCCCGUAUACGACUAGUUUCUAGUGCAUCCAUCUGCAAAACCACACAAGUCUUCAUAGUCUUCUCAAUCCUUACUUGGUUUCUCAGUAGAUCCAUCUAUAAAACCAAAUUUCUUGUGUGCUUUCACGACCAUAUGUAUGCUUGCGUACCAUUCAUCGUAAAUGGGUCCCAUGCAAAACUGGUCGUGAGAUCACUGUUCCAGGAUCGUCACAUGCAAUUAACACUACAAGAAAACACGGAUUUUGUGACUGAUUUUCCCGACUGAUGCUGUAGUCGCUUAUUUUACCAAUUGUUUACCAACUUAUUAACGAACCAGAAAUUUCAGUAGCAAAAUAGUCGCUAAAUAACGACAAAGGAAAUAGUCGCCUUUUAGUCGUAAAUUAACGACUAAAGAGCGACUAAUAUGUAUUCGUUAAAUAGCAGUCGGUAAUCAGUCGGCAAAUUAGCGACUAAUUACCUACUGAAUUAUUUUGGAGCUUAACAUUCACCUUUCAGUCGCUAAUACAGUGACUGAUUACCGACUGAAUAUAUCAGUCGCACUAUCAGUCGGAAAUUAGUAGGAAAACAGUCCGUAAAUAUUAUCCUAAACCUAAAUCUGAUAACCUAAACCCUACAUGUUUUAAACCCUAAACUUUAAAUAUAAACCUUAAAACUCUAAGCAUUUCAACACAAUAAAUCUUAAUCUAAACCCUAAAUGCCAUUUCUUAAAACCCUAUAUCAUAAAUACAAACUCCAAUUAUAUUAUUUAAAAAAUUAAAUACUAAACUUUAAAUCUAAAUCUCAAACAAAAUGUUUUCAAGUUUUAGAUAAGAACUAACGUAGUGGUCAGUACUCCACUAUGGUCAAGCUCUCCACUACGCCCUCGGUCAAGCUCGUUGCUACACCCCAGGUUAAGCUCGUCUACUCCGCCUGCUUUUUCAUCACUUGUCUCGGCUUUUGUCUCAAGGUGCAUAUUCUCGUCACCGGAGAUUAUGAAGCUGAAGAUUACAAGAAGAUUAUUGGAGCUUGGUGUAUUGCGGCGGAGAAAACAAUACAACUAGGUUUAGAUUUACUUUUUGUAAUUAGGUUUAAACUAAUCAACCGGUUUUGAUUUAAACUGGUAUUCUCUUGUUAACCAAAUUUCUUAUUUAUCUGAUUGUACCUGGUUAAAACCACUAACCAUUCCCAAUAUGGGAAAAAAUUAAUAAUUAUAAUUUGUUUUUAAAAAGUUGAUAAUAAUUUUUUUUUUUUUUUUUGCAUUUAGUUGUAAAAACAUUUGUAAAAUCAGUCACUAAUUAGUAGCAAUUCAGUAGCAAAAUUUUGCGACUACGUAGCUACCGAUUUACGACUAGUGGUAUCAGUUGGAAAUCAUACGCAAAUUUGAGACUGAUUUGCGACUGUUUUAUUUAGCGACAAGCUCUAUUACGACCACUGAAAUCAGUUGCUAAACAGUCACUAUUUUCAGUUUAGCGACUGUUAUCCUACCAAAUUUGCUGUCGGGUAAUCCAUUUUUUUGUAGUGUAAAUCAUAAGGAAGUAUUGUUCUCCUUGUUACUUCAACAAGAGAUUUUUACUGUGCUAGAUCCGAAGAUUUGGUAUGUGAAUCAAUGUACAUCAUAAGAAAGAAGAAGACGAUGAAAUAAUCGAGAUCUUGAGGUAAAAAAUAAGAAACAUAGUCUUGGAUCGAAAAACAUGAUAACUUAGGUCAAAGAACAGAUAGUAGUUGUAAAGAGAAAUCUUAUUGAUAUCAAUUGAAGGUUGUUCUUUAUAUUCAAGAGAGCCGCAAUACAACGGUUAAUCUAAAUACCGAACAUAAGUCCUAGGCCCAAUACAUAUCUAUCUUACCACUACAAAGUUACAUGACCGGCUAGAUAUUUCUUGUCUAUAGUAAUAUUCUCCAAUCAACUCAAAUUCCAUCCAAACAAACUCAAAUACCAUAUAAGGCCAACUUUAAAGAAAAGAAACAUAGAUGAGUUUCUUACAAAAAUAUAGUACUAUUUUAAUUUGUUGAUGAUUUAAAUCAGUUGAAUCAUUUUAAUGAUGACAUAUUUGUUAUCUAAGUUUCUAAAAAUUGAUGUAGGUUUUUCAGACUAGAAUCGUCUCUCGAAUAUCUCUUCUUUUUAUGUGUUCUUGUUCAUUUUUUCCUAUAUGUUAUAUUUUGAAUUUUUAAAAACGAAUAUAAAUGAAUAAAGUUGUUAAAAAUCUCACAUUGUAAUUUUUGUGAUCCAUGGGUUAAAAUUUAUGUUAUAACAAUAUACAAAUGAUUACAAAAUAAAAUAAGUAGAAAAUGUCAUUUAAUAAAUAUUAUAUAUAUGUAUAUUAAUAUUUUUUAUAAAUAAAUUAUAUACCAUAUAAAAUACAUAAGUAUUUUAAUUUCGAAUUUGCAUUGAUUUUUUUUAUAAACAUUUUGAAAAAUUAUUAAGAACUUAAUAUUAAGAUUUUAAACUUUGCAUUGAAUGUUUUUAAAAUUAUAAAUUACUAAAACUAUUAAACAUCCCACUAAUUUUUUAUUUUUAUCGUGGAUUUAAAAAAUUUGUUAUAAAUAAAUACAAAUGAUCAAAAAUAAUAUGAGUAUAAAAUAUUUUUUAACAGAUGUCAAUAUUAAAAAUGUACUAUAUAUCUAUGUUAAUAUCAUUUGAACUAAAUUUUAUACCAUAAAAAAAUAGAAAAAAGUGUUUGUCUGGAUUAAUAAAAUUUAUUUAAGUAUUUAUACCAAUUUAAUUAUAUACGUAAUAGUUACUAAAUUUUUAAUUAUUCAAUAUACAUUUAUUAUUUCAUAAUAUGUAAAAAAUAUAUAAUACUUAAAAAUAAUUUAUAUAUAAUAUUCAUUCCGCGUAAGGCGCGGGUCUUAACUUGAUAUGGAGAAACAAACUAAAUUUUCAUAUAUCAUCGCUCUACUUGGGAUCUAACUAAAACUCUCAAAAAUACUCAAAAAAUAAUAAAUUACGUUCGUGUAACCAUCAUGUACUAUAAAAACAUAUUGUACGUUUUCUACAAGUCUACUUCCUAAAUUUUUGGUAUUCGGAUAACAGAAUUUCUUUACAACAAAACUUCAUCACCAAUUAUUUUAUCUACUAAAAUGAACUAGAUGUCUACCUACUUUCCAAGCUCAAACUUUAUGGAUUCCUUAAGAGAAAAUUAUCAAAUGAUAUCAUAUAUUUAUACUAAAUUUAAAAGAAAAAUUAUAUAAGCAUACUAUCCGCGCGUAGCGCGGACACGUAACUAGUGUUAAUAAAUCUCUUUGGACUCUGAUUCUAAAGUUCUUAAAUCUCUAUAUAUAAAGUUAACUUUUAUCUUUUCAUCUGCUAUUUGGUUGAAGAUUUUUGCGACACGUGUCUACGUUUAAAAUUCACAUCUUUAUUUUGUAGGCUUUGUUAUUAUAGCAAAUUUAAAUAUUACAAAGAAAAAAGUAAAAGAUGAGGUCUGUCAGCCCCAACCAAACCUGUAAAAUACAAAGUAAUCCAAACGAACUCAACCGAAAAAAAGCCGAAGAAAGAAAACGGAUGAUGAGGCAACUAAAGACCAUGUAUGCAACAAAGAUGAAGGGGCAAAUGUAACAAUUUUUCAUGGAGGCUCGGUGUACUAACGCAAAAAUGAUAUACAAUGAUCCAAUGAUCAUUUCUGUUUGACCAUUUUGAUAAUGCAAAAAAACUGAUUUAUUUUUUAUUUUAGUCACAUAUCAAAGAAACUUAAAACUAUAAAUUAAAUGCUAAGUUGAUGAACUUAGACACCAAAUGAUAUCUCAAAUUCUCAAAUGUUUGUAAACUAGUAAAUUAUAAGCAUAUCAGAUAUUUAUUUAAGCUAAUACUUUUUAUAAAUAAUAUGUUAAUAGUGUUCAGUGUUGUGAGUAUUAUAGCACAAAAUCUGCUGAAGUCUUCUACAUUUGUAACAAAAUGGUAUGAUAAAUGUUCAGCUUGAAAGUUGUUUAUGCAAAACUUACCAAAAUUGUGCCUCUACUGAAAAUGGUUUUAGGUUUUAAUGGCUACGAAUAUGAAUCCGUUAGCUUACUCUUUUUUUUUUUUUUGCUUUUAGCUACUGUAAUAGAAAAAUAAUUAAAAAUGUAAAACAAAAAAUUCCGGUAAUAGCCUAGGAAAACCCCUAAUCCCCUAUAUAUUAUUGGGGUUUUUGCUAAAACUAACUCACAACUUGAUUUUAAUCCCAAACCUAUACCCAAACUUGAAUCAAAUGCAAAACUAACCUAAAAGCCUAGUGAAAUUACAGUUCAACCCCUUGUGACCAAACAAAAAAACAGAAGCCAUUUUUACGAAUAUAGCCCCAGUAAAUCGUCUGAGUCGUCUGAGAUGUUGGAAGUCGUCUGGACGACUGAAGUGUAAGUCGUCUGGUACCAGUUUAUUUUAAAAAUAAUUUAUAAAUCUUGUAAAAAAAUAUUUUGAUGCGUAAAAAAUAAAAAUCAAGUAAUUAUAAACAGUUUUAACUGAUAUAAAUUAAGAUAUGAUAAAAUUGAUUUGUUUUGAAGAUAGAUGAGUGGAAGUAGUGAAUCAUGAAAUACUUUAGUUUAAGAGUUUGGCAAACAUAUGUUGUAGUAUUGUAUGUAUUGUUAGGGUUAGAUUUUGGAAAACUAAAAUAUUUUUUUCAAAAAUUAGUUUUCACCUAUAUGUGUUUAUUUCUGUGUAUAGUAAACACUUUUCAAGUUUGAUUUGGUUUUAUGAAGUGUUUAAUUAGAUAAUUAAGUUUAGGGGUUAUGUUUAGGGUGUGGACGACUUAUAUUUCAGUCGUCUGUUGAAUAAUUUACCCGGACGACGUAUAUUUCAGUCGUCCACAUCGUACCGAAUCUUUAAUUUUACCAAUGUACGUUUUAACCUAACCGGAUCAUUUUACUCGGACGACUUACAUUUCAGUCGUCUGGUGAAGAAAUUAAAACAGACGACUUACAUGUAAGUCGUCCAGAAGAGUUUAAUAUUUUUAGCGGAAAAUUAAAUAUUUUUAGCGGGAAACUAAAAUAGAAGACUUUCCAGACGACUUACAAGCGGGAAAAUAAUUUUUAAAAAAAAAUUUAGGCGGGAAUAUUUGGACGACUUACAUGUAAGUCGUCUGUUUUAAUUUCUUCACCAGACGACUGAAAUGUAAGUCGUCCAGNNNNNNNNNNNNNNNNNNNNNNNNNNNNNNNNNNNNNNNNNNNNNNNNNNNNNNNNNNNNNNNNNNNNNNNNNNNNNNNNNNNNNNNNNNNNNNNNNNNNNNNNNNNNNNNNNNNNNNNNNNNNNNNNNNNNNNNNNNNNNNNNNNNNNNNNNNNNNNNNNNNNNNNNNNNNNNNNNNNNNNNNNNNNNNNNNNNNNNNNNNNNNNNNNNNNNNNNNNNNNNNNNNNNNNNNNNNNNNNNNNNNNNNNNNNNNNNNNNNNNNNNNNNNNNNNNNNNNNNNNNNNNNNNNNNNNNNNNNNNNNNNNNNNNNNNNNNNNNNNNNNNNNNNNNNNNNNNNNNNNNNNNNNNNNNNNNNNNNNNNNNNNNNNNNNNNNNNNNNNNNNNNNNNNNNNNNNNNNNNNNNNNNNNNNNNNNNNNNNNNNNNNNNNNNNNNNNNNNNNNNNNNNNNNNNNNNNNNNNNNNNNNNNNNNNNNNNNNNNNNNNNNNNNNNNNNNNNNNNNNNNNNNNNNNNNNNNNNNNNNNNNNNNNNNNNNNNNNNNNNNNNNNNNNNNNNNNNNNNNNNNNNNNNNNNNNNNNNNNNNNNNNNNNNNNNNNNNNNNNNNNNNNNNNNNNNNNNNNNNNNNNNNNNNNNNNNNNNNNNNNNNNNNNNNNNNNNNNNNNNNNNNNNNNNNNNNNNNNNNNNNNNNNNNNNNNNNNNNNNNNNNNNNNNNNNNNNNNNNNNNNNNNNNNNNNNNNNNNNNNNNNNNNNNNNNNNNNNNNNNNNNNNNNNNNNNNNNNNNNNNNNNNNNNNNNNNNNNNNNNNNNNNNNNNNNNNNNNNNNNNNNNNNNNNNNNNNNNNNNNNNNNNNNNNNNNNNNNNNNNNNNNNNNNNNNNNNNNNNNNNNNNNNNNNNNNNNNNNNNNNNNNNNNNNNNNNNNNNNNNNNNNNNNNNNNNNNNNNNNNNNNNNNNNNNNNNNNNNNNNNNNNNNNNNNNNNNNNNNNNNNNNNNNNNNNNNNNNNNNNNNNNNNNNNNNNNNNNNNNNNNNNNNNNNNNNNNNNNNNNNNNNNNNNNNNNNNNNNNNNNNNNNNNNNNNNNNNNNNNNNNNNNNNNNNNNNNNNNNNNNNNNNNNNNNNNNNNNNNNNNNNNNNNNNNNNNNNNNNNNNNNNNNNNNNNNNNNNNNNNNNNNNNNNNNNNNNNNNNNNNNNNNNNNNNNNNNNNNNNNNNNNNNNNNNNNNNNNNNNNNNNNNNNNNNNNNNNNNNNNNNNNNNNNNNNNNNNNNNNNNNNNNNNNNNNNNNNNNNNNNNNNNNNNNNNNNNNNNNNNNNNNNNNNNNNNNNNNNNNNNNNNNNNNNNNNNNNNNNNNNNNNNNNNNNNNNNNNNNNNNNNNNNNNNNNNNNNNNNNNNNNNNNNNNNNNNNNNNNNNNNNNNNNNNNNNNNNNNNNNNNNNNNNNNNNNNNNNNNNNNNNNNNNNNNNNNNNNNNNNNNNNNNNNNNNNNNNNNNNNNNNNNNNNNNNNNNNNNNNNNNNNNNNNNNNNNNNNNNNNNNNNNNNNNNNNNNNNNNNNNNNNNNNNNNNNNNNNNNNNNNNNNNNNNNNNNNNNNNNNNNNNNNNNNNNNNNNNNNNNNNNNNNNNNNNNNNNNNNNNNNNNNNNNNNNNNNNNNNNNNNNNNNNNNNNNNNNNNNNNNNNNNNNNNNNNNNNNNNNNNNNNNNNNNNNNNNNNNNNNNNNNNNNNNNNNNNNNNNNNNNNNNNNNNNNNNNNNNNNNNNNNNNNNNNNNNNNNNNNNNNNNNNNNNNNNNNNNNNNNNNNNNNNNNNNNNNNNNNNNNNNNNNNNNNNNNNNNNNNNNNNNNNNNNNNNNNNNNNNNNNNNNNNNNNNNNNNNNNNNNNNNNNNNNNNNNNNNNNNNNNNNNNNNNNNNNNNNNNNNNNNNNNNNNNNNNNNNNNNNNNNNNNNNNNNNNNNNNNNNNNNNNNNNNNNNNNNNNNNNNNNNNNNNNNNNNNNNNNNNNNNNNNAAGAUUUGAUAAAAAAUAGUGUAUCUUCUAUCAUAUUUGUUUAAUUUUAAGCUAUUAAAAUAAAUUAAACAAUCAUAGUAACCAUGUAAUAAAAAAAUAUUUAUAUAUUAUAUUUUUUUAUGUUUUAAAAACGAGUAUAAAUUACUAAAACUGUUAAAAGUUUCACAUUCAAAUUUUGUGAUCUAUGAUUUAAAAUUUUUGUUAUGACAUGAUACAAAUAAUUAAAAAAUAAUAUAAGUUGAAAGUUUCAUUUAAUAUGUAUCAAAAACAAAAGAUAUAUAAAUAUAUGUAUCAUAUGAAAUUAAAUUAUAUGUCAUAUAAAAAUACAUAAAUAUCUUAAUUUUGAAAUUUACUUUGAACAUUUUUUUGAUAAAAAAUUUGAAAAAAUAUUGACAACUUAAUUUUUUAAAAUAUUAUAAAUUACUUAAACCAUUAAUCCCACAAUGAAAAUUUUGUUAUCACUAAUUUAGAUUUUUUUCUAUAACAUAUACAAAUGAUAAAAAAUAUGAGCAAAAAACAUCAUCUAAUAAAUAUUAAUACUAAAUUAUACCAUAUAUAUGUUACUAUCAUUUAAAUUUAAAUAUAUCAUAUCAAAUAGAAAAAAUAUUUUUUCGAUUUAUAAAAUUUAUUUAUAUGUUCGCACUAAUUUAAUUAUAUAAGUAUUACAUAAUGACUUUUUAAUUAUUCAAUAUAUAUUUAUUAUUUCAUGAUAUGUUAUAAACAUAUAAUAUAUAAAAUAAUUUAUACAUAUAAUGUUCAUUCCGCGCAAGGCGCAGAUCUUAACCUAGUUUUUAUAUAUAUAAUACAAUCAGUGAGAGAAAGUAACUAGGAAAUUAUGCCUCAUAUAUAUCUUUCAUUCUAUCACGGGGCUGCAAACCCCAACACGUUUUUAUGAAGCUGGAGAAUUAAUAUUUUGUAUGCUAACUUCUUAAUGAAUCAUUAGGAUUUCUCUUAUCUAAUAUUUUAAUAAAGAUAUAUGUUUGUUGUAUAUAACUAGGCGUUGCAAAACCUAGUAACUCAGUGCACGUUUGCAAGCAAUCUGAACCCUUUGCAAGUUCUAAGAGAUUACAAAAUAAGCCUCUUCCUAGGAAACAUAUAUUUAUCAAAUACGGGAACUUAUAUACACCCCUCUCCAUUAUCCAACAGGUGGUUUUAGUUGUCGACCUUUCCUAACAAAAAAUAAUAAUUAAUUUCGACAUUUCGUGCUAAUGCAGAUGCACAACUCUGAGCUUCUCCAAAAAAAAAAAUUAGAGGAUAAAAUCUAGUAAAAGAAUGAUAAAUGGUAAAAAGUCAUCAUGGUUUUUGACAAAAAUUCUCCUUUAAUUUAUUAAAAAAAAAAUUGAGAAAUUCCUAAGAAUCUCAUCAAUAAUGGUCUAAUGUAUAGUGGUGCUGGGUUCAUAAUAGGCUGUUUAAAUUUUAACCGGUAGAUUGGUUUUCACAAGUACUUCAAUUUUUGUUUUUAUUUUGUUUAAUACGAACUUGUGACAAAAAAAAAAAAAAAUUUUGUUUAAUACGAACACAAUAAAUGGUGAUCUGCGGCUCUGCGCUCUCAUGAGUCAUGGCACAAUAACUUGCAUAUAGUCAAAUGAUGAAAUGAAUUUAAAUAUUCCCUAGGUACUCAUCAGAUGUUCGAAUAUUCUAGUCAAUUCAUUGGAUAUUUGUUUUCCAUAGUAUUGUUUAAUUAUUAAUUAAUAUAUAACUUUAAGUUACACAUUGUUGGAUAUAAUUUAUUUAUAGUACUCUUGUAAUUAUUAAUAUAGUAAUCAGCAAUGAAAAGCCUAGACUUAACAUAUUUUACUUUAGAUUGGUCUAUUUUGUUAACCGAUUUGGUUAAAACGGAAAUGUCCGUGUGGUUUCGGCCAACCUAAACAACCAAAGUUUAUAAAAUACAGCCGGUGACUUGGCCAUAAAUGAUUUUUACGGGUGUCAUAUUAUAUUUAGUUAAGAAAAUAAAAAAUGAAUAAAAAAAUAUUAUCAUUAAUUAACAUUAUGUACUUUACAUUAUUCAAAUAAAAAAAAUUAUUAUUAAUUUAACUUUUAAGCUAUUUUUAAUUUUAUAUAUGCAUUAUUAGUUUUAUAAUAUAGUGUAUUUAAAAUACUAUUUUUGAUGGAAUUGCAAAACUGAAAUUUUUAAUGUAGUAUAAGUUUUUCCAAUUAUUUUUUUCUUUAAAAUAAGAAAUUACUAAUACUUUGAUUAAAAUUAAUUCUAAAGUUAUAAAGGAAUAAAAUCAAAAGGGUAUAAUUUUUAAUCUAAAUUCCUGAAUUGAACUUGAUUUCAAUGAACACAAAUUAAUAUUCUAUAUACAUAAAAAGGAAGAAAAUAAAAUAUAAACUAAUUACAGAAAUAAUUGUGCUUGUUUAAUUUUAAGGGUUUAUUUUUUUUAAUUAUAUAUUAUUAAAUUAUAGACUAAUAUAUUAUAGUUUUUUGUUGAUUUGUAGUUAGACUAAAUUUAAUAGGGUUCAAGAAUGUUUUGGGUUGGAGUCAAUAUAACAUAUUUGAUGAUAAUUAAACAAGUUUUCCAAAUUUAUGGGGUACUGACCCUCCUCCGCCCUUAUUAAUACAGCUUAACAACAGUUACUAAAUGUGGAAAAGGAAUCAACACAUGGCCUUUUAAUCUUCUCUUCAAACAAAAAUUCAAGAAAAAGAGAUUUUGAAAUGAUUUUUGUAUUCGAUCAACUUGUUUAUUCAUCGUACCAAGAUGGCCUUGUUACAUCUUUCUAUGACCGGUUAAAAAUAAUUGAUUCAGUGAAUGGUACCAAACAAUUCAAACUUUAUUUUCCGGAUAAGUGCACAUGCAGUUUUGCUGGGACAUUUGCUAAAACCAACCCAAAUAUUCAAGUCAAAUGUAAAAGUGUACCCCACUUUCAGUCAAAUGCAAAACCAACCUAAAGGAGUAGUGAAAGUACUAUUUCACCCUUAUGACCAAACAAAAAACAUAAAUGUAUUUUACGUUUCUAUCCUUUGGAAGUCUACACGUAAUAAAAGAAGUCUACAUAUAUAUAGACUUCCUACGAAGUCUACUUUAUAGACUUGUUUUGUAGUCUACACUCUAAUUUGGUCUACUAAUUUAAUUUUGAAAAUGUAUAAAAAUAAUUAUUGUGAUAUUUUUAAUUAAUCAUCAAUAUAAUGGAUAAUAUGAAGUAAAUAAAUUAAAAUUUCAUAUAAUCGAACAAUUUUGAAGAAUAUAUACUAAUUUGGUUAUCAUGUGCUAGACUAUGUUCAUAGUUUAGAAACAAAAGGUUCUAACAUGUUAUGUCUUUUAGUAGUUGAUUUCAUAGGGUUAGAUUUUAGAUUUUGUUUUUUUUUUGUUUUAUUAACUUAAAUCUGCAUAUUAAUGUUUAGUAGUUUAUAUUUUGUAUAAAUGAGACUUUUUGAUUAUCAAGCAAAACAUUUAGGGUUUGAUAUUUGUGGUUUAGGGUUUCGUAGACCUACAAUAAAGUCUAUUUAUCUGAAGACGUCUUUUUCAGUCUAUAUUUUUCAAUUUGUUUUACAAAAAAUCAUUAUAUUUAAACUAAGUUAAGUUCCUUAAGAAUAAAAAAGUGAAAUCAUAUACUAUAACUAUUAAAAAAUAAAGAAAUAAAUUUAAUAAAUCAUAUAUUAAAAUUAUUAAAAUAAUAAAGAAUAAACAACAAUAAUUAAAUUAUUAUAGUAGACUUCCAAAAAGGUCUACUAUGUUAUAGUAAGAUCUACUCCAAAAUUUUAAUUUUAGUAGACUUCAAACGAAGUCUACAGUAUCGUAAAUUUUAACCUAGUUACAUUUUUGUCUCCCUAUAUAAACAAAAUUUAUUCAAUCUCUCUCUAAAGUGGCUGCACAAGUUCUUAAAACUCUCUCCCUUCUCUCUAAAACUUUCUCUCUUCUCUCUAAAAUUCUCUCAAUUGUUUCUAAAUCUCUCUCAUUAUCUUCUUUCUCUCUAAAAUUUUCUCAAGUCUUUCUCACAAUAUUAUCUUGUCAUUUUAGAUAUUAUGAUUCAUGGUUUUCAUCUUCUCCUUUAAAAAAUGUAAGUUUUAGAUCUAUAGAUUUUAAAUGUGUAUUUUAUGUUUAUUUCUCACAAUAUUAUCUUUUUUUGGUAGGUAUUAUCACUCAUGGAUUUCAUCAUCUCCUCUAAAAAUGUAAGUUUUAGAUUAAUAGAUUUUAAAUAUGUAUUUACAUGUUUAUAUUCAAAUAAAUUUAUAGAUCAAGCUCUCUACAUUAAUUUGCUACUAGUUUACCUUAUAAAUUAUAUUAUGUAAAGUAUUUUCAGAUUUAAAAUUAUUUUCACAUUUCAAAAUAUAUAGAUUUUUUCAGAUCUGAAAAUUAUCAGACAGUGUAGACUUCUAAAGAAGUUUACUAAAGCUUGCAGACUUCAUAUGAAGUUUACUAAACCAUAAAGUUUAAGCAGACUUCAUUGGAAGUCUACAAAAAUAUGACUUUAAUUUUUUUUCUAUGUUUUUUAAUAAUUUUAUCUUAUUUUGCAGGUAUUUUCUUCCAUAGUUGUUCUCUUCUCCUCCUAGAAAUGUAAGGUUUACAUCUAUAGAUUUAAAAUAUGUGUUCUAGUAUUUAUAUUCAAAUAAAGUUACAUAUUAAAAUUCAUAUUAAUAUGUCUUUAAUUUAUAACUAUUUUGUCUAUUAAAUCAUAUUUUUAAAAGUUUUUUAGAUUUAAACUUAUUUCAUAUUUUUAAUGUAUUAUUUUUCAGAUCUAUUUUUUUUGAUAGAGUAGACUUCAUUUGAAAUCUACUUAAAACUUACGGCUGGUAGACUUCAAAUGAAGUCUACUAGCCUUGAAUUUUAAGCAAAUUUCAUUAGAAGUUUACUCAAAUAUGAUUUUAAUUUUUAUCUUAUUUUUUAAAAUUUUAUUUUAUUUUGCAGGUAUUCUCUUCCAAUAUUUUCAAAUCAUCUUCCCAAAAAUGUAAGCUUUCCAUAUAUUCAUUAUAAGAUAUUUUGUGUUUAUAAUGAACUAAAUUUAUAGAUUCAUACAUUAUCUUUUUGCUUUGUUACAAGGAUGACAAAAAACCAUUUUUGAAAUAUUUUCCAGAACAAAGUAUUUUCAAAUUUUCUAAAUGCACACUUUUAAAUAUGAAAAUUUUCCAUUAGUGUAGACUUCAACUAAAGUCUACUAAACAAUAACUUUACGUAGACUUAAUAAAAAGUCUACUAAAAUAUGAUUUUAUUUUUUAUCUUAUGUUUUUCUCAUAACUCUAUCUUAUUUGGCAGGUACUUUUUCCAAGACUUUAUUUGAAGCAUCAAGAUUAUGAAAAAUCAAACAUACUCAAGAAUACUUUUUAAUAUAUUGCUCUGUAAUAACUUUCAUAAUAAAAUAUUAAUUUUUAAAUAAUUUUUUAAUGCAUAAUCUAUAAACAUUGUAUUCAUUUUUAGUUGUUUUCACUUGUAUGAUAUUAUUAAUUUUUUGUUAGAUAUCAAUUUUUUCACAAGAUCUAACCAACCAAACAAGUAAAACCACCAUAAGCUAAAAUAAUAACUAACACACAUGUGAGAAGAAGAAAAUCUAUACAAAAUUUUCCCAAAAAUUUUCAAGAAUAAUACUAAUCAAAACAAUUUGCAAUAAGUAUCAAGUGUAUAAUUAUAACACAUUAAAUUGUGAAAUUCAUCCAAGACCAUUAAAAUUUUACUAACAUACACUGUAAAAUAAUUAAAUCAUGAAAAAAUAUGAUGAAUAAUACACAAAUACACUUUUAAUAGAAUUUACGACGUAGACUUCAACUGCAGUCUACAUUUGUAGAUUUACAAAAACGUCUACACUUAUUAUUUAACAUAUAGUCAAUCCAAAUUUUUUUAGUGUAUUGGCGCAGGCUUGAUACACAAAGGCGUACAAAGUGUGUCUUAGAUAACUCGAUCAAGUUCCGUACUUGUCGAUUAUUCGUGACAGGCAUAAGAGGAGUAUAUUCCUAUUCGGAGUCAUUUGUUUUAAAUGAUGUUUGGUAAGGAAUAGGUUAGCACCAUCUUCUCAAUUUUGUUGUCCAGAUCAUAAUCUUCUUGUGUCAUUUCAAGAAGUUUACCAUGUGUACAGCCAUCAUGCACAAGGAACAUUCUUCAACCUUUCCGAUUCUUCAUCUUUUUCGAAUAUUUUGUCACCCAAAAUGUCUUUGGCCCAUACUUCACACUCGCUCUAAGUUUCCAACCACAUCCUUGAACACGACACUUAGCCACAUACAGAGUUUUUGUUGUCUUAUAUGCUGAAAAUGUAAAAUUAUAUUCCACAGUCACCGACUUCAGCUUUGAAACAAGCUCAGCCUUACUAGCAAAACUAUAAACGAAGACUUAGAAAUACGUCUACAAUUAUUAGCUAACAACAUUGUCAAAUCAAAUGAAUUAUACCUUCAUAAUUAUAAAAAAAAAAUUAUUUUCAAAAUCACUCAAACCCAUUAGGAUUAACUAACACACACUGUCAAACAAAAAAACUAGAAAAAAUUUAAUGAAUAAUACACAAAUUCACAUUUUUAUAGAUUUUUCUAUGAAGACUUAAUAUUUAGUCUCUGAAGAUGUUGACGUUCUUUUCAGUUUACAGACGUAGACUGUCAAAUAGGUCUACUCUUUGGGUUGGUUUUUGCAAUUGACCAUUUUACGGGUUGCUUUCUAUAGUUGAAUAAAAGUUGUAAUUUUGUACAUGUAGACUUUCAUUUCAGUCUACAAUUUAAAAAGGUUACUUUUUGCAAUUGACCAGAAUUCAUCCAAGAUUUGACUUUCAGAACUAGACUUCAUAUGCAGUCUACAUGUUUGAAUUUUUUUGAAAGAGGUUAGUUUUGCAAUUGACCAAGUUUGACUUCAAAUCAGUAGAUUAAAAUGAACGUCUACGGGUGUGUAGACUUCUUGUGAAGUCUACUCUCAAAUCCGACGGGUUGGUUUUGCAUUUGACCAAAAUAAAAAAGUAGACUUUAUACGCAGUCUACAUUUUUUUUUUUAAGAUAAGAAGACUGCAUAUGAAGUCUACAAUUUAAUAAAUUUUUGAUUGCUUUUUAAACUUUUUGGUCAAACACAAAACUAACCUAUUCCACGAAGUCAAAGUUUUGGUCAAAUGCAAAACUGACCUUUUAUAGACUUUGUUGGCAGUCUACAUUUUGUAGACUUCCGUUGAAGUCUAUUUUGAAAAGUCAAAAGUUCGGUCAAAUGAAAAACUAACCUCUUUUAGGUAGACGUCUUAGUAAGUCUACCGAAAGUUUUAUUUUUGUUGUCAAAGGUAAAGACGGAGACUACUGGGGAAGUCUGCGUUAGAAAAAAAAUUUGUCUGCUCAAUUGCAAAACUAACCCGUGCGUUGACAAAUAGACUGCAUCGUAAGUCUCCACGGAGGCGUAGACAUACAAAACAGUCUACCGUCGCGACACAGAUCUGAAAAAGAACGAAAACCAUGUAAAUAGUUACAUUUUUCAUGUGUAAAGCUUGUUUCCAACCUUUUCAACCGUCCAAACUCCAAAUAUGAGCAAAAAGAAGCAUCUUUAACGAUUCACUAAUGAAGAAACUCGAAAAUAUGAAGUUUGUGAUUAUGAAAAUGAUAGUUAUGAGAGUUUUUUAGAUGGAAAUGUAGAGGAGAUGAGAGAAAAUGAAGUUUUUUGGGUUAUAAUGAGAAAAAAGUGGUUGAAAAUUGAAUUCUAGAGCUUUAGAGCUCAAAAAUGGUGGUUCAUGGUGGUUGGAAAAAUUGAUGAUGAUGGCAUUUUUGUAAAUAAGAAGAAAUGGUUAGGGUGUAUUUGAUUUUUUGUUAAUUUCGAAAUUAAUAAAAAAAUAAAUAAAAAUGGCAAUUUUGUGAAUAAUUUAAAAACAUAAGGAUAGUAUGGAAAUUUUAUUGAUGAAUAGUAUGGACAAAAAAAAAAGGGUUGGUUUUGGAUUUGACUUGAAAAUAUGGGUUGGUUUUGAAAAACACCCAGUUUUGCUGGGAAUAAUGACAAGAAGUUGCUAAGGUAUUUAUAUAUGCUAGUGCGAAGGAAAAUGACACUCAUGCAAGCAUUCGUCACCAUAAAUUAGAUAGUAAAAGCAUGGUAACCCGGAAAUUGAGUGGAUGAGGCCCACACGCUAUCGCUCUUUUUCUUUGUUUCGUUAACAUUUAGACAUUUACCCACUUUAUUAAGCAACUCUUUUUAAAACCAUUUUAUUAAAAAUAAGUAAAGCAACAAAUUAUCCUAUCAAUUUUUUUAAAAAAAACUCAAAAAGGCAAAUAUACUAAAAACUCGAAUCACACUUCUAAUACAUAUAAAAUGGGUAUACAUUUUUGAAAAAUAUAUAAAUUAUACUUUCGACUUAUAAAUUCUCCAGAUAUAUUUUUAACGCUGGAUAAUUAUGCUAUUACAAACAAUGAAAAAUAUUAAGAUAUUAAUUCUCUAAAUAUUUAGAGAAUUUUGAAGAAAAUUUCAAUUUAAAACUAGCAUUUCUUACCAAAAACAUUAAAUUGAAGACACAAAGAAACAAUCCUCUUUGUAUUUUUUUUUUUGAACUAUACAUGGUAUCCUGAUCCCACAGAAGUGAUCCAGGCUAGUCACGUGUUACCAUGUGUCGGUCUUCUAUCCUUAGUGAUAUUGAAAUGUUAAUUCUCUAAUGGCAAUGGCUGGGACUCGAACGCGGAUGACUUCAACGUAAAAAAUAGGAGCCCAUCUUUUAUUUUAUUAAAUCAUCACAUCUUUUGAUUUUUCUUCCAUCGAUCAUAUCAUCGAAUCCGUGCCAAAACUCAAACUUAAGAAUAUGAUCCAAAGGAGACCAUUUAAAGAAGAUUUCUGGAUCACAUUUACACGACGUAUUCCGAUUGAAAUGUUGUUUAUAUUACAGAUAUAGAUAUAACGAUAUCUCUUGUAUAUUUGGUUUAGUUAUGUUAAACUCUCGACUCUGAUUUUGUGAUAUUAAAUCGGUUAUUCAUUUAGUAGUUAAUCCAAAUUCUCAUGAGGAAUUAAGCAUGUUAAGGAAAACUGUUAGUCUAUACGACAUCAGAUUAUCAACGGUACUAUACAAACUCAUCAUAUUACAAAAGCACUUGAACUCGAACGCAGAUAGUUUUGACUUAGCUUUUUUCAAGUGGAUGUUAAUCUUCACUUUCCAAUUUAAAAAUCGGUAUUACAGAUAUAUAUAUAUAUAUACGAACCUACUACCACUGAAGUUAAAAGAUAAAUAUUUUUCUAUAUAAACUAAGUUAAGUGGCACAUGUUGGUUCACUAAAGCUUCUUCAAAAUAAAACAUUGAGGUUUAGUUCGUCUAAAUUAAAUUACACUUGAUGGUAUACUAAAAAUUAUGCCUAGACAUUUUACCCAGACUAGAAAACCCAAACCGGAGCCGAUAUAAAAUUAUGAACUUCGAAUCGGACCAAAAAUUUACAAGUUUAUUGGUCUAAAAUUCUUCAACUGGAAAGAAAUAGAACCGGAAAAAAAAACUAUCCGAAUAGAUUCUGACUUGAAAAAAUCAACCCGAAUAGACCCGACCCGAUAAAAAUCGAUUCAUACCCGACUUAAUAACAUGAAUAUCAAAAACUAUGAUUUUUAUGUUGUAUUUUCUAUAUCUUUUUUUAUGAUUUAUAUGAAAUGUUUUUUUGUUAACAAUCUUUGCUGUUAUUUUUAUAGCAUUUUCAAGUAAUAUGAAGUUUUAAAUGUAAAGUUUAUAGUACCAAAAUAUUUUGUUUUAAUUAUUAAUAAUUUAUUUAAGUCCUUUUAUAAAAUUAUAUAUAUACAUAUAUAUAUAUAUAUAUGAAAGAUACCGAAUUUUGAUGGAGUUUGGAUAUUCCGUGCUUUUUUCAGAUUCUAAAUACUCAAACCCGGUCCAGACCUGAUACGGAUCCGAAAACUUUGAGUAUUUACAAAUAUUUUAGUUAUAUAUCUAAAUAAGCGGAUCCAAAACCGAACCGAAUCCGAAUAAAAAAAUUUACAAAUAACUAUUGGAUCCAAAUGUCAAAGAUUCGAAGAAUACAAAUUCGAAAGCAACUGGUCCGAAUUCGAUCCGAAGACUCGAAUGCCCAAGUCUACAAAAAAUUUUACAAACUUGUAUGAAUAUUAAAUUAAAAAAAAAGGUACCAUUUUGUUUUUCAUGUAUGAUAUAUGCCAUAGAGUUUUCCUGUUAAUAUAUCAUGUAAUCGUUUAUAUGCUCUUUGAAAAGAAUAUAUGUGAAUAUUAUCUCUUAUUUGUCUCCACACCAGAACCUCCAUCAAAUGCAUGUAUACAUGCAUAUCCGAUCAUGACACAUACUGAUAAAUCUUUCGGACACAUGAUUUAUACAUAAUAAGAAAGCUGAAUUGUAGUAUAUAUGUUCGUAUUAUUUUUUCAAUUAGUGUUGAUACUCCUUUUCCAUACGAAAUGUCUUGUGAAUUUCAAAUUGGUUUUGGAGUCCUAAUGAGUGUAAUAUAGGAAUAAACGCAUAGAAAAAUCAAAUCAUUAGUAUUCAUUUUAGUUAUGUGUUAGCUUUCGUUUUUGGGAACUCAAAUAUAACCAUAUAAAUUCGGGAACAAAUAUCCAAUUAUGAAAAAAAUACUGGUACAACUAUAGAAGUAUAUAUAUUGUAUUUAAUGCGAUAGAAAACAGAGGAAUGGAUAAGCGUGUCGUGGAGAAGAAGGACCAAGCAAAGCAAAGAAAGUAAAUAUAUUCUGAGAAAAUCCAUUAAAAGAACAUUUAUAUAUUUUAAAACAUUUAAAUCUUAUCCGUCUCCUCGAAAUCGUCAAACUGUUGUAAGAAACCUACGAAAUAGCAAACUUAAAAACAGACACAUUCAUAGAUCCGCUUCACUAGACCACCCGAAACGACAAAACCUGAUCACCGAGUUUAACGUACGAAAACCUGUCGGAGUAAAACUUUUUUCUGUUGUCGUCAUGUUUGGUGGAGGAAGAGGACCCAUGGGUGGCGGCGGAGGGAUGCUACGCGCCGCCGGACGCGCGAUGACGAGAACCGGCGUAGCCAACGGCGGAAUUCAAGAUCCCUUCGCUUCAUCUCCGGCGUCUUCGUCGACGACUCCGGCUGGAAACGCAUCUGUUGCACAUGGUGAUCAUAAACUCGGAUCUUCUUCUGGGUCGAACAACCUGACGCUUUCUGCGGCGUCAGGGUCGCUGUUGAAUUUUCCGGUGGCUGCGACCGCCGGAUGGAGCGGCGGAGCUUUUUCGUUUAUUAACUCCGGCGCUUAUGAAGACUUCGAGUGGGUUUCGGAGGAAGGAACAGAGGAGGAUGACUCUGUUUUUGGCUCUGUUCCUUCUGUUGAUGAAGUCCAUGAUGCUGUCUCUGCUCUCCAGCAGUAAUCAUCAUCUUUGUUUCUCUCUUUAUUUGUGUGUGUUUGUGUUUGUGAUUUGGUUGGGUGAGAAUUUUUGAGGUUUGAAACUUCUAUCAAUGAUUAGAAUUGACUAUUAAUCUCGUACAUGUGGAUGAGCUUUAAUUGGUAGAUAUUUUGGUGGUCACGAGAUUAAUCGUACGAAAAAGUAACAGAGAGAGAGAAAGAGACGAGAAGUGUCUUGGCUUUGAUAGAUUGUCUGAAAUUUAACUCUCUCUUUUUUCUGAGUGUGAUUGAAUUGUCUUGAUUUAAUGAACAAAGAGAAGAUGGAAGUUCUAUUAACUAACUUUUGUUUUGUUUGCUUAUGGGAUUACUGUCCUCGUGUCAAUUAUAACCCCACAUAGUUGUUUGUUUCUUAUGAAUUCUAGAACAUGCUCUCUUGUUUAAUGAAAUCUUGAGUAACUGUUUUUUUCUUGUUUUCUUGAAGGGUUUUCGAUGGAAGUUCGUUUUCUCAGCUGGUUAGAGACAAAUACGAGAGCUAUCCGGAACAUGGUGGUGGAAACCAGAGCCCUAUAGCGACAGGAAUGGUUCAUCAAGCUCCUUCAUUUGGGUCUGAUUCGGACUGGAUGGAGCCUUCGGUGCAGCUGUGCCAUUCAAGAGUCUUGCAGCCUCAUGCUUAUGAUCAGGUUUACAAUGCUUUUGACCUUCUGCGUACCGAACCGUCUGUCCAGGUGAUCUUUUUAUUUAUUUAUUUCUUGAUUCACUAACCUCAAAUUUCUCUCUUGUUCUGUUAAGUAUUCUUGAAUCCUAGAAAAAAAAAUUCAAGAGAACUUUGUUGUGAACAAACGAGAAUUAAAGUUGAAAAAAAAACAAGAAAACUGAGAGAAACUCGAUUUAGACAAAGGCAUGUUUUAUGGUUUGUAUGUUGAUUAUGUGAAUAAAUGUAUUUACAAUCCCGUAUUUAACUAUUUAUACAGCCUAAAAAAUCCAAUAUUCGUUUUCUUUUCUGUUUGGGAAACUUUCUUAUCUACUUUGUCUUCCUAUCGUCUAUCGAAUGUGUUAUUUGAUAGUGAACUUUAUCGAAAAUGUAGAUUAUUCUUUUAGUUUGAUAUUUAACUGGUCGUUACGUUGUAUUAUGAUCUAAGGCUUCUUACAAUUUGUGCAGAGAAUGGUAAUAUCAUUGUCAUCUGACAAAGCAGUGUGGGAUGCGGUGAUGAACAACGAGGUGGUGAGAGAGAUUAAGGAUCUCUACAACAAUGGGAUAAGUCAAGGUAUAGGCAGAACAUAUUGGUUAGUUUUUAAGCCUUUAGUUGGAGAGAGUUCUCAUUGACUUGUUCGAUCUUUAUGUACUCCUAAUAACAGAUGAGGAGAGUUCGGAUGAAACUCCCGGGGAGAAUAACGCAGCAGUGGAUUUCAUAAAAUGGGUAUUUGACAACACAAUGGUUAAGGCCAACGAAGUGUUUAAGAAAAUAACAAGGCUAGUGGUAGAGCUCUUGAAUAGUCACAAUGAUGACGGUGUUAACAAGAAGGGGAAAGAUGCCAAAUUCAACAAUUGGCUUGAGGAAAAGCUGAAGACUUCGGUCUUGCUCUCCAUCGUGGUCAUGCUGGUCGUGAUGGUCUCCCGUGCCUGCAACAAGUCUUGAUCGUUUCAAAAUUUGUCGACAAUACAUUUCGUCUUAAUACACUUUCUUUCAAGUCAUGUUGUGGUUUGUUUUGGUAAUGUCUGGUUUUGCAUUCCAUUGUUGACGUUGUAGACGGUGUACUCAGUUGUGCUUUCUGUCAUAAAGAACUCUGAAUAAGUGUUUGUACAGGAUUCAGUCGAUUAGAAUGAUAACUUAGAAAAUGGGAUGACUAAAGACGUUUUUAUUAGAAUCAACACAGUGGGUUACAAGACUGAUCGAAAGUAAGGAGACAAGAUCAGAGGUUUAAACGACAAGAUCGAAGAGAUGAUUAGGAAACCCUAAAUCUAGCCGCUUAGUAUGUGAUUUCUCCAAAAGUCCCUCUUUCGUUGCCUCCUCCUUCUCUCUUAUAGUGCCCUUCUGCGUGGUGCCCUAAUCGCGCCUAUCCUUUGGGCCUUGUCGCCCAAAGGCCGAGUAUGUGGGCCUUAGUACUGUUUCAUCCAAGCCGAGUAUAGCUGAUCGGCUUAGCUGACCGGCUUAAAGUACUCUGAGGUCGAGCUGACGUCUCUAGCCGCUAAGCCGACUAAGCUUGAUCGACCUUGUCGGGCUAGGGCCUGUUAUGUGAUGGGCCUUGUAGAGGGAUGUAAUCCAUCUCCUACAAUAAGUCCCCCCCCAGUUCACUUGUGAGCGGCUUGUCGGUCUCAGUGAAUUUGUGGGUCAGGUUCGCUCAUAUAACAGGGCCUAAUGCCGACGGCCGUGGUCGCCACCGGUUGGUUACCAGUGCGUGUAUGAAUCUUACUUCAAGGAUCAGACGAAGCUCUGGUUCCCAAUCCCCAGACUGAUCACGUCUUACGCAUUUCGUCGGGAUAUCGCCAUUUCUCAGCUGCUGAACGGGUCGCUGCGCAUAGCCGUCAUGUUGAUGGUUAUGGCAGCGGAGAUGGAUGUUUCGAUGAGCGUGAGGGUGUUUGAGGAGCUGACUUUCACGAAGGCGGAGCCUAACGGGAUCUUCUCGGUAAAGAUGAGAGCGAGUUACAACGUUUUGACUGGUCAUCCCAACAAGACGCAGGAUUGGCAACGCGCUUACUUCUUCAUUAAGUCCGACGAGCAUGCCUUCGAGGAGCCGCCGGGGGACGAUUAUCGCGUUUUAUGGAAUCAGCAACUUGGUAGAAAUUUGUCUGUUUACUCGUAUUCUGGUCGAUGGUUCUGAUGUUCCCCUUUUCUUUUGCAGUUCGUCAUCCCAAUACAAUUGCUUAUCCAGAGAAAUUCUUCGAAACUGCUCAACUGAUCGCGACGCAUAGUCAUCUCAGGUGGCCGGAUCUUAGUCGGGAGUGGAUACGUCGGCAACAAGCUAGGAUCGCCAGAGGUAAAGUUGCCGUUUACCCUAGAGAGAUGCUCUUGAACCUUUUUUAUAGUCUCCGUGUCUGAUUUCUCUUUCUUAUAUAGUUGAUUGGGAAUCGAGACUUCCUUGUGUACUCGGUCCCCGCAAAUCACGUCUCUCCCUAUUUACUCGGAAGCAACAAAAACUCCUUAACCAAGCUAGAAAGAUGGAGGGAGUUCCCGACUUAAGUGCCCUGUUGAAAGGGAAGCUUCAAAUGCUCUCGACGAAAUCGUCUUCUGCCGGUGCCUCAGAAGUCAGGCCUGUUUCCACAGAUGGAGAUGUGAACCCUGAGCCGCCAGCUCAGAGUUCCCCAAAGAGGAAGGCCAAUAGGGCCAAGGCCAAGAACAGGAGUGUCCCUUUGGAAGAGGCACAACCUUCUGCCGAUGUCUCUGAAGUCGCGGCUAAGAAGAAGAAGAAAAAGGAGAGCAAGAAAAGGUCUCGUGAAGAGACUUCUGUUGGGGCUAUGGAGACUCCAACUGCCGCAGGGAAUGAUGGUGCGGAAAGAAACGAUCCGGCCGAUUCUACUCGGGGAUCGCCUGAGGAGCGUCCCAAGAAGAAACUGAAGAAGAAGUCAGCGGAUGGCGAUGGGACUUCUGCUCCCGAGAUUCCUUCUAGAAGUGGGGAACCAGCUACUGAAGUCGGAGAUGGCUCACGGGAUGAAUCUCCGUCGAGUAAGGGAGCCCCUUCGUCUUCUGCGAGGGAGACUGGUGCGGGAAGCGGAGGUUCGCUUCCGCGGAAGGCGGGAGGAGGAAUUCACUUCCCGGAUCACGUAGAAUUCCUUUACGACGAGGCGACUCCGUUGGUUCUGAAUCCACUUCCGUGUGCUGAACUGACUCGUCAGAUUCGUGGCGGGACCAAAGAGUUGCCGCCGGUCGACGACUUAUACUUCAAAAGGGAGUACAUUGACGCGGCUAUGGCGGGCAGACGGGUAAACUUGUUUUCCCCUUGUUUCCCUUUCUCUUUCUUUAAAAAUUUUUCUAAGUCUCUUUUGCUUCACGCAGAGUGACGGGAGCAUGAACUAUCUCGUGGAGAAGUACGACAGCACUUUGAAGCAGACGAUGGUCCAGCUGGGCGCCUCGGAUAAACUCGCACGGACCAGAUUGGGCGUGAUCGAGAGGUUACGCGCCGAGAACAAAAAGGCCAGCGACAAAGCGGCCAAAGAGAAAGAGGUCCUCCGAGUUAAGUUCGAGGAGUUGGAAGACAAGCUGAAGUCUGACCGUCUUGCGAAGAAGGACGCUCUCCGCGAGAAAACUCGCUUAGAGCGAUUGGUCGCUUCCCUUGAGAAGGAGAAGGCUGAGCUCGAGGGAGAGAGGGACGCUGUCGUCGGAACGCUGGUCAAAGAGAGGCAACGCCUGAGGGAUUCCAGGGUUCAGGAGGUUACCCGCGAGAGGAUCAAGGUCCAAACGGCUAUGGCGGACAAGUCUACUCGCUGUAUCGGUAAGAUGAAGGGCUAUCUGGAUCGCCUUAUCGCGCGAGAGAAGGCCAAGAACUUAUAUGGGCAGGCUUCAGGAACCAAAAAAUGCCUUGAGAUGAUUAAAGAUAGCGGGAUCGCGAUUCCGCCGAGUAUGAUCAACAUCUUCUCGGAGCAGGAGAAGAUGUAUGAGGCUGAAGUCGCCAAUCUUUACCUCGAGCCGUUCUCUGAGGAUGAUUAUGCUCUCUCUCCUCUCAGCCUCCCUUCUCGAUUUGUGAAUGAAGAGCUCAUGGGGGUACUCGACCCGUAUGGAUCAAAUGUUGGUCUGAUUGGCCACGAAUCAGCCUCCCAGUUGAUCACUUCCCGCGAGGCGACUGAAGAUCCAGUCGAUGAGCCGAUGGUAGACAUUACUUCUGCUUUGUCGGAGCGUAUCGUCGUUCCCGAAGGAACUACCAUCGAGGAGCGCCCCGACGGGAGCGAUCCCGAGGAGACCGGGGAAGCGANNNNNNNNNNNNNNNNNNNNNNNNNNNNNNNNNNNNNNNNNNNNNNNNNNNNNNNNNNNNNNNNNNNNNNNNNNNNNNNNNNNNNNNNNNNNNNNNNNNNNNNNNNNNNNNNNNNNNNNNNNNNNNNNNNNNNNNNNNNNNNNNNNNNNNNNNNNNNNNNNNNNNNNNNNNNNNNNNNNNNNNNNNNNNNNNNNNNNNNNNNNNNNNNNNNNNNNNNNNNNNNNNNNNNNNNNNNNNNNNNNNNNNNNNNNNNNNNNNNNNNNNNNNUUGGUUCGGGCUAGAACCGGAGAUUAAUUUCGGUCCGGUUUCUUGAUUGAAAACCGGUUUUGGCGAGAAACCGAACCGUCGCGAGUAGGUUUUUGGGCAUUUAGGCGGCCUUUGAAGCCCAUUUAGGCCUUUGUAGACCUAAUGAUGACGCUUCGAAGGAUGCGCCUCGUUUUUGCUAUAAAUAGGCGUCUCUCCUUUGCUUUCGUCAUUCUUCUCUGCAGACUCAGGUAUUCCACUUUCUCUCCCUUCUCUCUACUUUUAUUUUCUCUCUCUAGAUAAGACUUCCGUAGCAUAGGGUUUUUUGCUAGCGAUCUAGCUGGUUUAGUCGUCCCCCCGAGUAGAAGAGAUAUGGCUUCAGGGAAUCGGCUAUCGCGCGAGGAAAAAGGGAAAGAUAUAGCUACUUCGCCAAGCCCGGCUAGGGAUGCGGACGGGGGUCCGUUGGAGGAUUUCGACAUAAUCCAUCGUGAUGCUCUGCGGGAUACGGAGAACAUGAGCCUUUCCCAGCGCCUUCUGGUCGCUGAUGCCCAUAGACAGUUUCGCGAAGAAAUCGAAGAAAACGUUGAGGGCGAGGAUAGAGAGGCGAGUGGUUCUGAAGCGCCUAGCCUUGUCGUAAGACCUAAGAGACGGGCUCGUCGGAGGGGUCGUAUCGACCAGUCAGGCCGUCUCCCUGCUCCGAGAAGUGUUCCGUUCUACGAAGUAGACUGUCGUCCUGUGAUAUAUCACCCUGGUGGGAUUUUCGAAGAACUACCUUCGCUGCCUCCCGAAGCGUUACGCGACCCGCGAGUUCAAUCGUGGGGAAACGUUUUCAGUUCCUGUUCUUCCAACGAGACCGUGAAGAGAUUGCUAAGAGAGAGUGGUGGCGCUGGAGUCACCUUCCUCAUUCCGUCAAUCGAUCAGCGGCCGUGGUCGCCACCGGUUGGUUACCAGUGCAUAUAUGAAUCUUCCUUCAAGGAUCAGACGAAGCUCUGGUUCCCAAUCCCCAGACUGAUCACGUCUUACGCAUUUCGUCGGGAUAUCGCCAUUUCUCAGCUGCUGAACGGGUCGCUGCGCAUAGCCGUCAUGUUGAUGGUUAUGGCAGCGGAGAUGGAUGUUUCGAUGAGCGUGAGGGUGUUUGAGGAGCUGACUUUCACGAAGGCGGAGCCUAACGGGAUCUUCUCGGUAAAGAUGAGAGCGAGUUACAACGUUUUGACUGGUCAUCCCAACAAGACGCAGGAUUGGCAACGCGCAUACUUCUUCAUUAAGUCCGACGAGCAUGCCUUCGAGGAGCCGCCGGGGGACGAUUAUCGCGUUUUAUGGAAUCAGCAACUUGGUAGAAAUUUGUCUGUUUACUCGUAUUCUGGUCGAUGGUUCUGAUGUUCCCUUUUUCUUUUGCAGUUCGUCAUCCCAAUACAAUUGCCUAUCCAGAGAAAUUCUUCGAAACUGCUCAACUGAUCGCGACGCAUAGUCAUCUCAGGUGGCCGGAUCUUAGUCGGGAGUGGAUACGUCGGCAACAAGCUAGGAUCGCCAGAGGUAAAGUUGCCGUUUACCCUAGAGAGAUGCUCUUGAACCUUUUUCAUAGUCUCCGUGUCUGAUUUCUCUUUCUUGUAUAGUUGAUUGGGAAUCGAGACUUCCUUGUGUACUCGGUCUCCGCAAAUCACGUCUCUCCCUAUUUACUCGGAAGCAACAAAAACUCCUUAACCAAGCUAGAAAGAUGGAGGGAGUUCCCGACUUAAGUGCCCUGUUGAAAGGGAAGCUUCAAAUGCUCUCGACGAAAUCGUCUUCUGCCGGUGCCUCAGAAGUCAGGCCUGUUCCCACAGAUGGAGAUGUGAACUCUGAGCCGCCAGCUCAGAGUUCCCCAAAGAAGAAGGCCAAUAGGGCCAAGGCCAAGAACAGGAGUGUCCCUUUGGAAGAGGCACCACCUUCUGCCGAUGUCUCUGAAGUCGCGGCUAAGAAGAAGAAGAAAAAGGAGAGCAAGAAAAGGUCUCGUGAAGAGACUUCUGUUGGGGCUAUGGAGACUCCAACUGCCGCAGGGAAUGAUGGUGCGGAAAGAAACGAUCCAGCCGAUUCUACUCGGGGAUCGCCUGAGGAGCGUCCCAAGAAGAAACUGAAGAAGAAGACAGCGGAAGGCGAUGGGACUUCUGCUCCCGAGAUUCCUUCUAGAAGUGGGGAACCAGCUACCGAAGUCGGAGAUGGCUCACGGGAUGAAUCUCCGUCGAGUAAGGGAGCCCCUUCGUCUUCUGCGAGGGAGACUGGUGCGGGAAGCGGAGGUUCGCUUCCGCGGAAGGCGGGAGGAGGAGUUCGCUUCCCGGAUCGCGUAGAAUUCCUUUACGACGAGGCGACUCCGUUGGUUCUGAAUCCACUUCCGUGUGCUGAACUGACUCGUCAGAUUCGUGGCGGGACCAAAGAGGUGCCGCCGGGCGACGACUUAUACUUCAAAAAGGAGUACAUUGACGCGGCUAUGGCGGGCAGACGGGUAAACUCGUUUUCCCCUUAUUUCCCUUUCUCUUUCUUAAAAAUUUUUCUAAGUCUUUUUUGCUUCACGCAGAGUGACGGGAGCAUGAAUUAUCUCGUGGAGAAGUACGACAGCACUUUGAAGCAGACGAUGGUCCAGCUGGGCGCCUCGGAUAAACUCGCACGGACCAGAUUGGGCGUGAUCGAGAGGUUACGCGCCGAGAACAAAAAGGCCAGCGACAAAGCGGCCAAAGAGAAAGAGGUCCUCCGAGUUAAGUUCGAGGAGUUGGAAGACAAGCUGAAGUCUGACCGUCUUGCGAAGAAGGACGCUCUCCGCGAGAAAACUCGCUUAGAGCGAUUGGUCGCUUCCCUUGAGAAGGAGAAGGCUGAGCUCGAGGGAGAGAGGGACGCUGUCGUCGGAACGCUGGUCAAAGAGAGGCAACGCCUGAGGGAUUCCAGGGUUCAGGAGGUUACCCGCGAGAGGAUCAAGGUCCAAACGGCUAUGGCGGACAAGUCUACUCGCUGUAUCGGUAAGAUGAAGGGCUAUCUGGAUCGCCUUAUCGCGCGAGAGAAGGCCAAGAACUUAUAUGGGCAGGCUUCAGGAACCAAAAAAUGCCUUGAGAUGAUUAAAGAUAGCGGGAUCGCGAUUCCGCCGAGUAUGAUCAACAUCUUCUCGGAGCAGGAGAAGAUGUAUGAGGCUGAAGUCGCCAAUCUUUACCUCGAGCCGUUCUCUGAGGAUGAUUAUGCUCUCUCUCCUCUCAGCCUCCCUUCUCGAUUUGUGAAUGAAGAGCUCAUGGGGGUACUCGACCCGUAUGGAUCAAAUGUUGGUCUGAUUGGCCACGAAUCAGCCUCCCAGUUGAUCACUUCCCGCGAGGCGACUGAAGAUCCAGUCGAUGAGCCGAUGGUAGACAUUACUUCUGCUUUGUCGGAGCGUAUCGUCGUUCCCGAAGGAACUACCAUCGAAGAGCGCCCCGACGGGAGCGAUCCCGAGGAGACCAGGGAAGCGAUUCAAACGGAUACGGGGGAUGUAGCCGCUGAAGAUCCAGUCUUGGUUUCUUCAUCUGAGGAGCGGGAAGAGGACGGAGUGGGCGUGGAGGAGAACGGGUCAUCGCCGGCGCUUGUUGAAGAGAUGGUCCCGAACCUGCCAGUUCCAGACCCUUCUGCUCAGGUUGAAGGCCUUGGCGAUCAAGUCGUUGAAGAAGAAACGAUCGGAGCGCUUGACCCGAGUAGGGAUGACCAAGACGUUGUCGUCUGAUCUUGUUGUAUGUUAUAUUUAGGAUGCUUUCAUCGGUGGUCUUGAUAGACCUUGUUGUUGUACGACNNNNNNNNNNNNNNNNNNNNNNNNNNNNNNNNNNNNNNNNNNNNNNNNNNNNNNNNNNNNNNNNNNNNNNNNNNNNNNNNNNNNNNNNNNNNNNNNNNNNNNNNNNNNNNNNNNNNNNNNNNNNNNNNNNNNNNNNNNNNNNNNNNNNNNNNNNNNNNNNNNNNNNNNNNNNNNNNNNNNNNNNNNNNNNNNNNNNNNNNNNNNNNNNNNNNNNNNNNNNNNNNNNNNNNNNNNNUUGCAAAUAGACAAGUGAUGAACCGGUAAUUGGUUUUACUCGGCUGCCAUCAUGUUUCGAUUUGGAGUUGUCCAAAAGUUGAUAACAAAGAAUUGAGUAUAAGAGUGAAAGGUCCUUCUGUCCGUUUCCUCAGUGACAAUUAAGCAAUCGGGUAGCUAAGCCGUUACAUUUUAGUCGAGAAAAGGCAAAGAUUCACUCUGUUUAGUCGGUUCAAUGCUUAGGCAUAGGUGAACCGUGACUGUUAAGGUCCUGGAGCCAAGUGUCUUUUUUUUUUUUUUUUUUUUUUUUUUUUUUUUUUUUUUUUAGGGUGAUACUUCUACGAGUAGAAACGUCGAAGAUGCAUUGAGUUCCAUGAUCGCGGGACUUCUUCUCCGCGCGAGGUUUGGAGUCGGUAUACGCCAGGUUUAACAACUUUGAUGAUUUUGUAUGGUCCUUCCCACCUGGCGCCGAGUUUACCGGCGUUAAGCUCUUUAGUGUUUUCAAACACUUUGCGCAUGACGAGAUCACCGAGUUCUAAAGGUCGGGCUCGGACCUUUUUGUUAUAGUAGCUCUCAAUCUGAUGUUGGUAAUUCUGGAUGCGCAGUAGGGCUUGAUCUCUCCGUUCUUCUAUCUCAUCGAGGGCGUCGAGUAGCAUCUCCUUGUUUAGCUCGACGUAUUGAGGCAUUUUGGAACGUCUGAGGCUUGAAACGUUAACUUCUGCAGGAGCCAUGGCUUCAACACCGUAAGCGAGAGAGAAGGGUGUCGAUUUAGUCGAUCCUCGUGGAGUCGUGCGAUGGCUCCAUAGGACUCCGUCGAGUUCGUCAGCCCAGUGACCUUUUUUGAGGUCUAGACGCUUUUUAAUGCCGUCGAUGAUGAGUUUGUUGGAGGAUUCGGCUUGGCCAUUACCCUGCGGGUAACGUGGAGUGGAUGGGCUUAGCCGAAUGUUCCACUUGCUACAGAAUUCCUUAAAGUUGCCUGACAUGAACUGUGACCCGUUGUCGGUGACGAUCUCGUAGGGCAGUCCGUGGCGGCAAAUAAUGUUUUUCCAGACGAAGCCGCGGACUUCUUUGUCUGUAACUUGAGCGUAUGCUUCAGCUUCGAUCCAUUUGGUGAAGUAGUCGGUGAGGACGAGGAUGAAGCGUCUUUGGCGGGAGCAGGGGAGUGGUCCUAUGAUGUCCAUCGCCCAUCGCAUGAACGGGUAGGGAGCGGUGGUUGUUCGCAACAGUUCGGUUGGACAAUGGAUGCUGGGUGCGUGCCGUUGGCACUUGUCGCAGCUUCUCGCAUAAGACUCGCAAUCCGCGUUCAUUGUUGGCCAGAAGAAACCUAAGCUCCUUACUUUUAUUGCUAACGCACGUCCGCCCGAGUGAUUUCCACCGGCGCCUUCAUGCGUUUCCGCCAUAACCCUUGCUGUCUCGUCGCCAUGGAUGCAUUUUAAGAGCACCUUACUCGCAGUCCAUCUAUGCAGUUCAUCAUCGAGAACGACGUAAUGGGCGCUGCGGGUUUUUAGCCGGCGAGCCGCCCAUUUUUCUGCUGGGAGUUCCCCUUUUGAGAGGUAGUCGAUGAAUUCAUUUCUCCAGUCAGGGCCAAACCCAUCGUCGUCUGGAGUGGCGGGUUCAGCGACUUGGGCGAUGAGGGUUUGAUCGGUUAGGACGUCGAUGCUUGGUUUCUCGAUACGAUGUAUCGGGAUGGUUCUCUUCACUUGAUCACGAAGCUUGCUGCCAAGGGCGGCGAGGGCAUCGGCGCAGACGUUCUCGCCUCUCGGAACUUUGAUGAGUUCGAAAAAUUCGAACUCUGCCGCCAGGCUUUGCACUAUUCUAAGAUAGGCGUCCAUUCGAUCGUUGCGGGCGUCGUAGUCGCCACUGAACUGACUGGCGACUAACUGGGAGUCACAGUAAGCGCUUAGACGUUUAGCUUUGACGGCUUUUGCUAAGCGGAGUCCUGCGAUGAGAGAUUCGUAUUCCGCCUCGUUGUUUGAAGCGGGAAAGCCAAAGCUGAAAGACUGUCGGAUCAGCUCGCCGGUCGGGGAUUGCAAUUGGACUCCAGCGCCUGCUCCUUUGUUAGUUGACGAGCCAUCGACGUGCAAAGUCCAGUUUGAGCUUGGGAGUGUGAGAUCUUGCUCUAAUUCUGGGGCCAGUUCGACCAAGAAGUCGGCAAGGACCUGGGAUUUUGCCGCCGUGCGAUUCUUGUAGAUGAUAUCGAGCUCGCCGAGUUCGAUGGCCCACUUCGUGAGUCUGCCAGAUCUGUUAGUGUUCUGGAGUAUCGUUCGGAGAGGCUGAUCGGUCAGUACUUCCACGGAGUGCGACUGGAAAUACGGUCGUAGUUUUCUCGCUGCUUCAACAACUGCUAAAGCCAUCUUUUCCAGAGUUGGAUACCGCGUCUCCGGUCCUGUCAUGCGUCGGCUUGUAUAGAAGAUGGGCUUUUGCUCGCCGCGGUCUUCUUUUAUCAGAACACUGCUGACUGCAGCCUGUGAUACUGCGACAUAGAGAGACAGAACGUCGCCGACGUCAGGCUUAGCGAGUACUGGGGGUGUAGUCAGAUACUGUUUGAGUUGAGUGAAUGCUUCCUCGCAUCUUUCGUCCCAAAUGAACUUCUUAUUUCCUCGCAAGAGAUCAUAGAAUGGGAGGCACUUGUCAGUGGAUCUGGAGAUGAAUCGAUUUAGAGCGGCUAUGCGGCCCGUGAGUCGCUGCACUUCCCUGCUGUUCUUCGGACUUGGGAGGUUUAGAACCGCAGAGAUUUGCUUUGGGUUCGCCUCGAUUCCUCGCUGUGUGACAAUGUAACCAAGGAACUCGCCGGAAGAAACCCCGAACGUGCACUUCGCUGGGUUUAGCUUCAUGCCGUACUUGUUGAGGGUCUCGAAGCAUUCUUGUAGGUGGCGGAGAUGAUCGGUUGCAUGGAGCGACUUAACCAGCAUAUCGUCGAUGUACACUUCCAUGGUGGUGCCCAGCUUAUCUGCGAACAUCUUGUUGACAAGCCUCUGGUAGGUUGCUCCGGCGUUCUUCAGGCCGAAUGGCAUGACCUUGUAGCAAUAGGUUCCCCUAUCUGUGAUGAAGGCCGUCUUCUCGCGAUCGUCCGGGUGCAUCAUUAUCUGGUUGUAUCCGGAAAAGGCGUCCAUGAAGGUGAGCAUCUCGUUCCCAGCCGUGGACUCGACUAGACGGUCGAUGCUGGGAAGAGGGUAGCUAUCCUUUGGACAGGCUUUAUUCAGGUCGGUGAAGUCGACGCAGACGCGCCACUUACCAUUUUUCUUUUUGACGACUACCGGGUUUGCCAACCACUCAGGGUAGCGGACUUCAGCAAUCGAACCCGCGCCAAGUAGCCUGUCGACUUCUUCGUUUACUGCCUUAGACCUAUCAGGGCCGAGCUUGCGUCUCUUCUGUCGGAUAGGCUUGAACGUUGGGUCGACGUUUAGUUCGUGAGUGGUUAUACUCGGGUCGAUGCCUUUCAUGUCUGUCAUAGACCAGGCGAACGUGGACACGUUCUGUCUGAGGAAAUCCAGGAUUGACUGCUGCAUCUCAUCGGAGAGGUAUGCUCCAACUCUGACGGUUCGACUCUGGUCGACGUCGUCGACGGGUAACUCGAGGACUUCGCUUUCCUGAGAGUGGACUUUUGGGGUUGGAGGGGACACUGAGUUCACGGGUAGCGACGCUCGUUGGAGUUUGACCGUGGCGACUAGGAGAUCCCUAGCGGCCUUUUGGUCCCCACGCAAUGUUUUUAUCUUCCCGUCCGUGCCCGGAAACUUGACGCAUUGAUGGUAGGUGGAAGGGACAGCUUGCAUAGAGUGUAACCAAGGAGUACCGAGUAUAGCGUGAUACGGAGCUUUUGUGCUAACGACGGCGAAUUUGACCGUUCGAGUAACGCCGCAUGCGCGCACCGGGAGACGGAUCGUUCCCAAUAUGGUUUCGGAUGACCCGUUGAAUCCUGUUAGCGUUCUGGAGGAUGCUUUUAUAUCGUCGAGGUCGACUCCCAUCUUCUGCAGAGUUCCUCGGAAGAUGAGGUCAACGGAACUCCCGGUGUCAAUAAGGAUCUUGGUGACAUCAUACUCUCCAAUUCCAAGGACGACGAGGAGGGGAUCAUUAUGGGGUGCGUGAACACCUUCAGCGUCAUCUGAUGAGAAGGUUAUUGGAGGAUGACUUGUCGGUUUACUCGGCCACUUCUGAGACGUCGCGACUUGUCGACGAUAAUCUUUCACGGAACGGACUGAGUCGCCGCUAGGGGAACCCCCCAUGAUGACGUUUAAAGACUGUCCCGUUUGGACUCGCUUGGAGUUCAGUAAGGCGCGGAGGUCUUUUGGUACGCUGGUACCAGGAGGUGGAAGUUGAGGUUGACCUUUAGCUCGCUCCAACUGUCGUCGUAAGUCUGUUGGUUUUGACUUGUUAAGCUUCACGCGGAGAUCGCUCACUCCGGCAUUGAGUUUGUCUCGGAGGUCGCCAAUUGGCCCUUCGUUGUUGUUGCCAUCGCUUGUCGAGAUGCGUCGAGACUUCCGUGCAUCUAGCAUCGUCCGGAGAUCUCUGCGUGUGGUAUCGCUUCCAUUUUCCGGUGCGAGCCGCCGUUUAAGGCUGUCUCUCAGGUCUCCGGGUACAGGCGAAUCGUCAUUAUCUUCGUCGGACGACAAGGAUUGCUGAGAGAGUAUAACCUCAAUGCGUCUGCGAUUAGCCGGAUGCUCUUCGUCGGCUGAGGAGUCUCCCCCACCGUUAUCCCUUGGGGUUUCUUCCUCGUCGUCUCGUUGCGGAGCGUCGUUUUGUCGACCUCUGCCAGUGGCUUUGCGCUGGGCCCUUCGUUCUUUGUUCUUGCUCCAGCUCUUACCGUUCUUUGGUUUGGCUUUCAAUGGCUCAAACUUAAACUCGCCGCUUGCAAGGGACGAGAGGUAAUGCGCGUAGAGAGAUUUGCAUUCUGAGGUAUCGUGUCCUUUGACGUCGUGAUACUUGCAAUGCUUGGUGAGGUCGACGGUCCGGGAAGGUCCUGCUGCUGAUCCGACUCCAGCUGCGGGUUGGGUGGUGCAAACAGAAUCGACUUUUUGGUCGGAUGACUCGAGUUCUCUUACCCACUUGUUCCACCCCUCCCCGCGAACUACGAGAGUGGAGAUUGGUGUGUUAUUCUCGUUCACGACAUACAUGUAACCAUCCUUGGGACCGUUUUUGUCGUUUGGAGCGUGCUGGCGCGGUUCUUGUCGCGCAUUUGCGUUCUUAGCCGCUGGAGCCUUGGGUGCGCUCAUCUUGCUGAGGAUUGCGUUGGUGUCCUCCUCCAUUCGGAUGAAGUUAUCGGAGCGUGCGAUAGCGUCUUGGAGCGACUUGGUUGGAUUCUGGUACAGGUCUUCUCGGAACUUGGAGUGGACCCACAAGGUGUUGCGCAAUGCAUCGAUAGCGAUUCCGUCUGGGAUCUCAAUCUUUGACACUACGGCUUUGAAUUUCUCCAUGUAGUCGCGCAAGCUCUGAUCCUUUUUCUGAUUGAGGUUCCAUAGGCUGGACGCGGUGGCGCUGCGCUUUGUGAACAUGAUGUAUGUCUUGAGAAAAGCUGCUGAUAGGUCGCGGAAACAUCCGAUUGAGUUCUCCUCCAACUGGGAGAACCAAGUCAGGGCUUGCUCGUGAAGAGUCUCGACGAACAGCUGGCAGUAACCUGCGUCCCUUUCGUCGUCGGGGAGACGAGCUCGCGCCAUCGCGAUGUUAAAAGCGGUCAUAUGUUCUACCGGGUCUCCGCCGGGCUUGUACUCAGGUAGGCGCAGCUUUUCUAUCUUUCCGAGUUGGACGCUAGUUAGCGCGCGAGUAAAAGGAGUGCGCGAGGUUGCGGCGAGUACGCUCUCUAUUUGCGGAGCUGCGCUGGUUACAUGGUGGAUCUUCUCUCCCAUUUGUUGAAGGCUGAGUUUGAGCUCGGCGAGCUCGCGUAUUGUCGUGAGAUCUGAGCCUGCUGGGGGAGCGUCUGCGAGAAAGGCUUCGUUAGGCUCCGAGUCGUCAGAGAUAUGGUCGACUCCGGCUGCCGUAGGAUUUGUGUUGAAGAGGCGGCGGCGUGUNNNNNNNNNNNNNNNNNNNNNNNNNNNNNNNNNNNNNNNNNNNNNNNNNNNNNNNNNNNNNNNNNNNNNNNNNNNNNNNNNNNNNNNNNNNNNNNNNNNNNNNNNNNNNNNNNNNNNNNNNNNNNNNNNNNNNNNNNNNNNNNNNNNNNNNNNNNNNNNNNNNNNNNNNNNNNNNNNNNNNNNNNNNNNNNNNNNNNNNNNNNNNNNNNNNNNNNNNNNNNNNNNNNNNNNNNNNNNNNNNNNNNNNNNNNNNNNNNNNNNNNNNNNNNNNNNNNNNNNNNNNNNNNNNNNNNNNNNNNNNNNNNNNNNNNNNNNNNNNNNNNNNNNNNNNNNNNNNNNNNNNNNNNNNNNNNNNNNNNNNNNNNNNNNNNNNNNNNNNNNNNNNNNNNNNNNNNNNNNNNNNNNNNNNNNNNNNNNNNNNNNNNNNNNNNNNNNNNNNNNNNNNNNNNNNNNNNNNNNNNNNNNNNNNNNNNNNNNNNNNNNNNNNNNNNNNNNNNNNNNNNNNNNNNNNNNNNNNNNNNNNNNNNNNNNNNNNNNNNNNNNNNNNNNNNNNNNNNNNNNNNNNNNNNNNNNNNNNNNNNNNNNNNNNNNNNNNNNNNNNNNNNNNNNNNNNNNNNNNNNNNNNNNNNNNNNNNNNNNNNNNNNNNNNNNNNNNNNNNNNNNNNNNNNNNNNNNNNNNNNNNNNNNNNNNNNNNNNNNNNNNNNNNNNNNNNNNNNNNNNNNNNNNNNNNNNNNNNNNNNNNNNNNNNNNNNNNNNNNNNNNNNNNNNNNNNNNNNNNNNNNNNNNNNNNNNNNNNNUUUCAUAUAUUUGUGUUUUAUUUUAUAAAAGACUUAAACUUUUUAUCUUUAUUUAUCGUAUUUCAUUUUAAAUGACUAUUUAUGUUUAAAAAAUUAAACUUUAUUUCUUUAAUGAAUUAAGUUGGUAUAACUCUGAUAAAUUAAUUUUAUUAUGUGGUUAAUAUAUUUUUUAAAAAAAAUUAUAUACUUUUAAUAAAGAUUUAUACUUUUCAGUGAAAAAAUCAAUUUUUUUUAUGAAAGCUUAAAUUAUAUUAAGAAAAAAAUAAUAAUAAUUAAGAAUAGUUGAAAAAAAAUUAUAUGAACUUGGACUCAAUGACCCAAAGGAAAAAAAUGUGAGAAUUGGAUUUGAUUUCUUAAUCGGCCCAAAUGGCACAAGAGAGAUCUGAUGUGGGCUGGAUCCGAAAAAAAAUAACUCAAUAUAAAUGUGUUAUUAAUAUUACUUGAUUGCCCUUAAUGAAACAUGCAAUGUUAGUAAAGAAAAUGAUAGGCUAAGGUAAAAAGGACAAUAGGAUCCUGCUUUAAUAGUAUAGAUAUACAACAAUUCACUUCUAUAUUUAAAUAUAAGCAUCAAACAAACAAAGAUUUUAUUGCCUCCAAAAAAAAACAAAGAAAGAUUAAAAAAAUACAAAGACACAAAAAACAAAAUAAAACAACAAUUAUAUAACACAUAAUGAUUCAAUAAAUGAAUGUAACUUGAUCCAAAAUUAUAGCACAUGAUAUAUUUUUAACAUGAUACCUAUAUUAUAUUCUAAUUUAUAUUUUUAACAUCAUACCUAUAUUAUAUUCUAAUUUAUAUUUUUGUUCUGUAAUAAAAUUACCUUAAAAUUUAAAAAUAAAAUAAUAGAUUACUCAGUAAAACCAACGAAAAGAAAAAUAAAGAAGGCAAUAUAAUAUUUUAAACAGUCACUAAUUAUACGCUGAAACUGAAUAAUAAUAUUGUUAAAAGAACAUUAUAAUCCCUUUAGAUGCAUAGUUCAUUUAAUAAAUGUUUUAAUACAAUAUAUGUCAAUUUUAAAAAUAUUUUGACUGUGAAGAAUUUAUUUAUUUUUCUUAUUAACUAAAACCAAUAGAUUUAAAAGAAAAUAUAUAAGAUAAACUAAAAAAAUUAGUGGAUUCAAAGCAAAUAACAACAAUUAAUAAUUCAUAAUUUACACAUUCAAUCUCAAAUAUAAUUCCCAGUAAUUUAAUGUAUUUACUGAUUAUAAUAAUGAUAGGAAAUCAUUAAAAAAUGAAAAUGAGCCUACUAUUUUAGGAUCUUUUUUUUAUUAAGCAAACAAGGUUUUUUAGCAACAAAACAACAAAAUAUAAUAUCAGUUAAUAUUAUUGUCAACUAUUUAAAAUUUUGAUGUAGACAAAACUGAUCGUUUAAUAUAAUCACACUCACAACCAACCGAACAUAAAAACUUACACAAAAAUAAUAUAUUUGACGCCAACAACACAUCCUGCGCGUAGCGCGGAGCCGUCCUAGUAGAAAAUAAAAUAUUAGAUAAUUAAAAAAAAAAAGAUUUUGGAUUUCAUAUUUGAGUGAAUUGAGACAUGAUCAACAAGUGUUGAUUCACGCAAGGUGAGUAGAUUAGAAUUGAUCUUUGUCUAGUGGUGUGUGACAACAUCAUCUAAGAUAUUGAUUGGAAUAUUUCUAAUAAAAAUAUACGUGUUCUUGAAAUUUUUUUGUGUGCCCUUUGUUUUGCGGAGUCUUGACUCUACAUAUGCAACAUUCAAUGUUUUCUACAUUUUUGUACAGAUUUCCCCAUAAUGGUUUGUUGACAAGCCUAUAUGACUGGCUUCCAUAUGCAGUAAUGAUAUAUUUAACUUAAGUGAAGAUUAUUUGACUAAAUAAUAAAAACAUUUGACUAUCAAAAUGUUUAAUAAAACUAUAUAUUAUUUCCUAUUAGUUUUCAUCAAAUAUUAUAUUAUUUUUGAAUUUAUUGAUUAGUUUUAAUCUCUCACGUUAAAAUCUAGAACAAUUAAAAUUAUUAAUACUCUUUGAAUUAUUUGGAUUUAUUAUUUAAAAUUUGAUGAUUGAUUAUAAAUUAAUAUCUAUAAACAUUCAACAAAAAUAUAAAGACUAAUAAAUAUUAAAAAAAAAAGAUAAUUCAUAGGUUUAUGUUAUCCUUAAUAAUUUUAUUCAAUAAAUCAGAUAAGUAACUAUAAAAUAAUAUAUUAAAAUUCGGCCAAAAAAAACAAAAACAAUUAUUUUAAAAUAUAACGUAAUUCAUUUAUCUUUGAUAUCCUUAUUAAAAUUUAUUCAUUUAAUCUGAUAAUCGAUUAUCAAUUAAUAUAAUAAAAAUUGAUGAUUUAUUUUAAUUUGUAAAAUAUAUUUUACACAUAAAAAUGAAUAAUUUAUAUAUACACACAAUUAUCUGAUUAAGAAAAUAAGAAAAUAAAAUAAAAAAAUAAUUCAUUUGUCUUUGUUAUCUUUAUCAAAAUUUAUGCUUUUAAAUCAUAUAAUUAAUUAAAAAUGAAUAUAAUACAAAUUCAUAAAAACAGAAUUAUUUUUUACCAAUAAAAAAAUAAUUCAUAUAUAUAUAUAUAUAUAUAUAAUACUAUUAUAUGAUUAAUUAUUUAUAAAGUAUUUGAUAAUAAAUGAAAAAUCAUAUGUUUUUGUUAUCCUUAAUAAUAUUUUUUUAUAUAAUAUUAUUGAUUAUAAAUUGAUAUGAUAAAAUAUAGCAAAUUUGUAUAUUACAAAUAAAAACAUACUUAAAAAUCAAAGAUAAUUCAUAUGUGUUUAUUAUCCUUAAUAAAAGAUUUUAUUUAAAUCAUAUAAUUGAUAAUAAAUUAAUAUAAUAAAAUUUCCAAAAUUCAAAACGUAUUUUACAAGAAAAAAUAAUUACUGUAUCCCUUGUAUAUUAAAAGAGAAGCAUUACAAAAUUAGAUGUAUGACACGUGUCACUUGUUAUCACGAGAACGAUUCUUGAGAAUCCACAGAAAAAUAAGUUGACAUAUCUAUAGUUUUCAUUAAACUAAUAAUAAAAUCCCUUAAUAAUCUCAAAAAAUUGUUCUUCAUUCUUUCCUUAAAUAAAAGUUAUAGACUAACCUAACGUGAUUAAAAUAUAUAUGGUAAUUAAUUAUUAUCAUUCGAUUUUAUAACAAUUUGUAUACCCUCUAUUGUUUUGUUUAAAUAUUUUUAUUAAAAUAAAUUAUACAAUUAUAUUAACCAUAUAAUAGAAAUUUAUAUUUUUUUGUAUAUGUUGUAUUUUGAAUUUAUAAAAACGAAUAUAAAUUACUAAACUAUUAAAAGUCUCACAUAAAUUUUGUGAUCAAUGGUUUAAAAUUUUUGUUAUAAUAAGAUACAAAUGAUUAUAAACUGAUGGAGGAGAAGCAAUGAUAAAUAGCUCAACCAAGAGGUUAUAAAACCACGCUUGGGACCUGCCAGCUCAACCAAGAGAUUCUAGGGAAUCCUCGCUCGGGAUCUGCUUCUCUAUUGAUGAAUCUAAUAAAAUCAAUACAAAAGAUAGAAAAUACAAUUCUCCCAAAAGCCAAAGUUCUUUUAUUAAUCAAAUCAAACUUAAUAGAACUUUAGGCUUAGAUGUCUAUUUAUAAUAAAUCCUUAAAUCUUCGAAAACCCUAAUCUUAAUUAAAAUAGGAAAACUACUAAAAUAUAUAAAAUACAAUAAGAAGUAAUUAUCUAUGUAAACUAAUGAAUAAUAAAGAUAUUCGGAUAAUUUCGUCCUCGAAUCUUCAACCGAUUUUUCCACAUAGGAUGCUGCACAAAAUCUUCACAAGUCGAAUUUGCACAAAUUUUGCACGAGCCAAAUUCUUCAUAGAAUUGUUUCUGCACGUAUAUUGCAAGAGCCUGAUUAUGCUUGAAGUCUUCUGCAUAAACGAGAUUUCGUCCUAUCUUUGCACGGACUAAAUUAUCAAAAUCGUUUUCUUCAUAAACAUCAUAGAUUGGAUCGCCACAAAUCUCUUUGUGGAUCUCAUCAUCUUCAUAAACGUCGUAGAUUGGAUCACCAUAGAUCUCUCGACAGAUUUCAUGGUAUUCUCUCUCAACUAAAGAACUUUCGUCCACGAAAAGAUAGAGAUUGCAACUGCUAAUCAACAUGACAUCCAUUAUCGUUCUUCGAUUAAAAAACCAAAGAGAUGCAGCUCUGAUACCACCUGAUGGAGCGGAAGCAACGAUAAACAGCUCAACCAAGGGGUUAUGGAACCACGUUUGGGACAUGCUUCUUGAUUGAUGAAUCUAAUCAAAUCAAUACAAGGGAUAGAGAAUAUAAUUCUACCAAAAGCCAAAGCUCUUUUUAUUAAUCAAAUCAAAACUGAAUACAACUUUAUGCUUAGAUACCUAUUUAUAAUAAAUCUUUAAAUCUAUGAAACCCUAAUCUUAAUUAAAAUAGGAAAGCCUCUAAAAUAGAGAAAAUACAUAUAAAAGGUAAUUAUCACAAACUAAUAAAUAAUCAAGAUAUUUGGAAUACUUCCAAAUAUCUAGCUGCAUCAUAAACCACAUGAGUAAGAAAUCUUAUUUAAUAGGUGUUUAUAUAUAUAUAUAUAUAUAUAUAUAAAUUAAACUACAGACCAUAUAAAAACACAUACUUUUAUUUUGAUAUUUGCAUUGAAAAACUAUUGAGAAAUUAAUAUUUUAAUUCUGGAAUUUGCAUUCAAUUUUCAAAAAUGAUUUUAAAUUAAUAUAACUAUUAAACAUCCCACAUUAAAAAGUUUGUCAAUGGUUUAAAUGUUGGUUAUAAAAAGACGUUGAUAAUCAUAAAACCAUAUGAUUAGAAAAGUUAUUUAAUAAACAGUCAUAUUAAAAAUAUAUUAGAUAUCUACUUUAAUAUCAUUUAAAUUUAAUUAUAUAUAAUAUACAAUGAAUGAAAUUGAUUGUUUUGAUUUAUUUACCAUAAAAUGAUCGAUAAGAGAGUGUUCGUUUGAUUUAUAUGUGCGCUGUAAUUUAAUUAUAUACGUAAAAUUUACUGAUUUUUUUUUUAAUUAUUCAAUAUAUAUUUAUUAUUUUCGUAUUUCAAAAAAAUAGAAAAACAUAAAAUAAGUAAUAAUACAUAAAUAUAAUUUAUAUUUAAAAUAUUUAUCCCACGUAAGACGCAUAUCUUAACCUAGUAUACACUCUUAUAUGAGUAAGUAGCCCUAAAAUGAUUGUGCAUGCAUAUUUGGAUAAACACCUAGUAAUAUGUAUUAGUCCACGAUUUCUCCUCAAUAUAAACUUAAUAAUAAAAUUUUAUAUCUAAAUUUAUGAUUGCAAUAAAUAUAUUAUUUUCAUUAAUUUUAUAGUAUAUAAUAUGAGAAAUUUUAUUUCCUGUUUCUUAUAAAGACUAUUUAUAUUUAAUUAUAUUGCUAAAAUAAGAUAUUACUCUAAUAUGAUAUAUAUUUUGGAUGAAACAUAUUUAAUAAAUUUAUUGUUUUAACUAAGUUAUGUUGAUUGUUUUUUCAUUUACGUUAUAGAAUAUGAAAUGGUUUUUAUAUUUUUACAAAUCAUAUUAUAUAUAUUUAAAUAAAUAAAAUACAUACUAAACAGUCUGAUAUAAAGAUUACCAUCAAAAAGAUAAUUUUUAUAUUUAUGCACAUAUAUGUUUAUUUUGAAUAUCUGUUGACUAUAACCAAUAGACCUCUGAUACUUUAACAAGCCAAUAAACCUGUUCUUUAUAGUCUCUUCUUAAUUUUAGAAUUUUUUUUUAAGGCAGUGACUCAAAUCCUUUAUUAUUUUUAGCAUUAUAGAUGAAAUCUCUUAUUUUUGAAUGUAAUCAGCAUGAAGACUAUAUCCAUAUACAUCAAAUUAUUAAUAUUACAUAUUUUAAUAGUGUGAUUUACAUGUAUCAUCAUUAAAAUUAAAAUAUAAUUAAAUAAGGACAUAAAUCUUCAUUUUGAUUACUUUCUGUAGAAAUUAUAUUAUUAAGUAAGAUUUUUUCUACAUAAUGUUAAAUGUCAUUAAAUAUUUGAGUCAAUGAAUAAAAAAUAAAAUAAAUUCUGAAUUCAAAAGAGACUAUAAAUACCAGGUCUAUUGGUUUGUUAAGUAUCAGAAGUCUACUGGUUAUAACCAAAAUUAAGAAUGGCAUCAAAGAUAACGUUCUUCUUGCUUCUUGCUCUUGUUUUCGCUUGUAAGUCUCUCUAAUCUCUCUAGCAAGUCUUUCUCUAAGUGUAUUUUGAUUUGAAAUUUAAGAAUGAAUUAUUUGUUUCUGAUUUUUUUUUUUGGUAUCAAUGUGCUUAAUUAGGUGCAACGAUGGUGAGUGGACAGUUUCAGCAUUGCACAACAAUUAGAGAUUGCAAAAUAUAUUUAAUAUGCAAGAUUGGGGAGACAGAACAAUGCUUAGACAAUCAAUGCAAAUGUGGUCCGACACCUCAAAUUAAAGGUCAGCCGUGCAGGAAAACACACGAUUGCGAUGCAACAAUAUGUAAAGAUUUUAUUAAUGUGUGUGUGGAUGGAUUCUGUACUUGUACUCCUCCUUAAUGCAUAAUAUCAUAAACAUAUGCAUAUUUCUUGAUUUUACUAUCGUGGAAAGAUUUUCUCAUUGAUAUUAAUAACAAGUAUUCUGAAAGAGUUAUGUGUAUGUUUAAGAAUAUAGAUUGAAUAAGGUUUUAUUUUAUAUGAAGGAUUUCUCACACAUAUAAGUUAUUUGAUAGGGAAAUUCUCUCAAAUAUAUAUUUAUAAGUUUUUGUCACCAAAAUAGUCUUUAAAAAUGACUAAAAUAGCUUCUUUUGAAAAUUUUAUUUUUAUUUUUAUUAAUUUGAAGCUUUUUUUAUAUAUUUUGGUGUUAUAUAAGUCCAUCAUUAACUAAACACAGAUAUACAUCACUCAGUCAAGUGCAAACUACACAUAUAUAGAUAAGGCAUGGUUCUUUCAAUCUUAAAACUAAUUCUAGAUGGUCCUUACAUUGCUUUCAUCUUAUGAAUUAGUUUGGAUAGAUAAGUAAUUACUAACAAGUGUUGAUUCAUGCAAGGUGAGUAGAUUAGAAUUGAUCUUUGUCGAGUGGUGUGUGACAACAUCAUGUAAUCAGGAUCAGCCUAGUAUGUAAAAUAUUGAUUGGAAGAUUUCUAAUAAAAAUAUACGUGUUCUUGAAAUUAUUUUGUGUGCCUUUUGUUUUGCUGAGUCCUGACUCUACAUAUGUGCAACAUCCAAUGUUUUCUACAUUUUUGUACAGAUUUCCCCAUAAUGGUUUGUUGAGAAGCCUAUAUGACUGGCUUCCACAUGCAGUAAUGAUAUAUUUAGCUUAAGUGAAGAUUAUUUGAUUAAAUAAUAAAAACAUUUGACUAUCAAAAUGUUUACUAAAACUAUAUAUUAUUUCCUAUUAGUUUUCAUCAAAUAUUAUAUUAUUUUUGAAUUUAUUGAUUAGUUUUAAUCUCUCACGUUAAAAUCUAGAACAAUUAAAAUUAUUAAUACUCUUUGAAUUAUUUGGAUUUAUUUUUUAAAUUUGAUGAUUGAUUAUAAAUUAAUAUCUAAUCAACAAAAAUAUAAGAACGUAUUAAAAAAAUAGAUAAUUCAUAGGUUUGUGGUAUCCUUAAUAAUUUUAUUCAUUAAAUCAGAUAAUUAACUAUAAAAUAAUAUAUUAAAAUUCGGCCAAAAAAACAAAAACAAUUAUUUUAAAAUAUAACGUAAUUCAUUUAUCUUUGAUUCCUUAUUAAAAUUUAUUCAUUUAAAUCUGAUAAUCAAUUGUCAAUUAAUAUAAUAAAAAUUGAUGAUUUAUUUUUACUUGUAAAAUAUAUAUUACACAUAAAAAUGAAUCAUAUAUAUACACACACUGUUAUCUGAUUAAGAAAAUAAGAAAAUAAAAAUAAAAAAUAAUUAAUUUGUCUUUUUUAUCUUUAUCAAAAUUUAUCCAUUUAAAUCAUAUAAUUAAUUAAAAAUUAAUAUAAUACAAAUUCAUAAAAAUAGAAUUAUUUUUUACCAAUUAAAAAUAAUUCAUAUAUAUAAAUAUUCUACUAUUAUAUGAUUAAGUAUUCAUAAAGUAUUUGAUAAUAAAUGAAUAAUCAUAUGUUUUUUUUUGUCAUCAAAAAUAAAAUCAUAUGUUUUUGUUAUCCUUAAUAAUAUUUUUUAUAUAAUAUUAUUGAUUAUAAAUUAAUAUGAUAAAAUCUAGAAAUUUUUUACAUCACAAAUAAAAACAUACAUAAAAAUCAAAGAUAAUUCAUAUGUGUUUAUUAUCCUUAAUAAAAGAUAUUUAUUUGAAUCAUAUAAUUGAUUAUAAAUUAAUAUAAUAAAAUUUCCAAAAAUCAAAACGUAUUUUACAAGAAAAAAUAAUUACUGUAUCAUUACAAAAUUAGAUGUAUGACAUCACUUUUUAUCAUGAGAAUGAUUCUUGAGAAUCCACAGAAAAAUAAGCUGACAUAUCUAUAGUUUUCAUUAAACUAAUAAUAAAAUCUUUUUUUUAUCUCAAAAAAUUGUUCUUCAUUUUUUCCUUAAAUAAAAGUUACGAACUAACCUAAUGUGAUUAAAAUAUAUAUGUCAAUUAAUUAUUUUCAUUAAUACGAUUUUAUAACAAUUUGUAUACCCUCUAUUAUUUGUUUAAAUAUUUUCAUUAAAAUAAAUUAUACAAUUAUAUUAACCAUACAAUAGAAAUUUAGAUUUUUUUUGUAUAUGUUGUAUUUUGAAUUUAUAAAAACGAAUAUAAAUUACUAAACUAUUAAAAGUCUCACAUAAAUUUUGUAAUCAAUGGUUUAAAAUUUUUGUUAUAAUAAGAUACAUAUGAUUAUAAACCACAUGAGUAAGAAAUCUUAUUUAAUAGGUGUUUAUAUAUAUAUAUAUAUAUAGAAAUUAAACUACAGAGCAUAUAAAAACACAUACUUUUAUUUUGAUAUUUGCAAUGAAAAACAAUCGAGAACUUAAUAUUUUAAUUCUGGAAUUUGCUUUCAAUUUUUAAAAUGAUUAUAAAUUACUUUAAAUAGCCUGUUUUUAUUUUGAAAAAUUUAAUAUUUAUUUUUACUUUUAAAAUUUUGAAACUUCACCAUCAAAACCCCACCUUUUAACUUAACCUCUACUUCUAGAUUAGUUAACCCUAGCUAUAAAUGUAUAUUUACCUUUCAAUAAAACAUAUUUUGAUCAUUUUUCUCUUUGAAAGCUAUUUUUGUGAAACUAAAGUUAAAAUGACUAUCCUAUGGAAUUUCUCUUUUUGCCUUGUACCUGCCUAACACAAUUUUCGCAAAGUUGAAGUCGGAGUGGACAGUUUCCGAUGAUGUUCCUAGAAAUAGCAAGUCAUCGGACUUUGACUCUCGGAGAAUUAGAUAUGUCGUCAAAUCCUUGGAAAGUUACUGAAGGAUGAUCUUCUUGGUAGAUUGUUGGUAUCAUUUUUCGGGGUAUUUUUCGAGAUCAAAUUUCUGAUGAAACUUAUUAUAAAAAACAUGGGAACUUACAGACACUGUUUUUCUUUACAAAAACAGAGUAUGGAAAAACAACAUAUUCUUUCAUUACACCCAUAAAAAACAACCUAAGUACUCACACAGAUGUGAUAGACUUCUAAGAUGAUAUCAAUUCGUUUUAAGUACUCACACAGAUGCGAUACACAGACGAGUGACUCUCUUGAUUUAUAUAGCUUUGAGCCUUUGAUUGAAUGAGACUAUACACGUUCUUUACCAUUUGUUGUUGGAUUAAUCUUGAAGAAAAAAGAAACUUACAAAACAAGCAAGAGACCUAAUCCUACCAAGAUAUGGAAUUAGAUUAUGUUUAGGAGUUAUCUAAAUGUAAUGACUAUUAGGAUUAGGAAUAAUCAACUCUACAUAUGGAGAUGUCAAAGUGUGACAUAAUUUACAAGAGUUUAGAGAUUGAGAGCUUAUGUUUUGAGCAUAUUUUCUUAAGCUAAUAAUAAGAGAGAUAUUCUUAUUGAUCUUUGAAUUCAAUAUUUGGUAUCAGAGCUAGAGUUUGUGUUCUAUGGGAGAUCUAUCGAUAAUGACAACAUCGAAACCAAAAGAAGGAGAUCCUUCGAUCAAGUGUCCAACGUUAACCUCUAUGAACUACACCGUAUGGGCCAUUAGAAUGAAGAACUUACUUAAGGUGCAUAAAGUCUGGAGCAUCGUAGAAACAACAAUAGAGGAAGAAGAUAAAAACGACAUUGCAGUUGGUUUGUUGUUUCAAGUGAUACCCUAGACCUUGGUGCUGCAAGUCGGGGAGUUUAAUACGGCAAAGAAGGUAUGGGAUGAUAUCAGGGCAUGACAUGUUGGUGAAGAUCAAGUUAAAGAAGCAAAACUACAGACCUUAUUGUCAGAGUUCGACAGACUUACAAUGAAAGAUGCCGAGAAGAUAGAUGAUUUUUCCGGAAAGCUGUCUGAAAUUUUGUCAAAGUCUGCUGCCCUAGGAGAAGAAAUUGAAGAAUCAAAACUGGUCAAGAAAUUUCUUAAGAGUCUCCCUCGAAAGAAAUACAUACACAUCAUAGCAUCACUCAAACAAGUGCUUGAUCUUAAAACCACCAGUUCUGAAGACAUUGUUGGUCGACUAAAGGCGUAUGAAGAAAGAGCUACCAAAGAAGAAGAAGCCCAAGAAGACCAAGGGAAACUCAUGUAUACCAACACGGAUUCCCAAUCCUCUCGUGAGUACUACAAUGAUUACCGAGGAAAAAGAAGACGAGGAGGAAGGUCUUACAAAGGUAGGGGUCGUGGAGGAUAUGCAGUUCAAGCCUUCUCGGAAAUCAAACAAGGAAAACCUUCCCGAAAGCAACAUCGUAUAGAGCUAGCAAAGCACUUGAGCUUGUCCAUGGUGAUUUGUGCGGACCUAUAACACCAAGCACACUUCGUAGGAACAAGUGCGUGUUUGUGCUCAUUGACGACCACACUCUAUGCAUGUGGACCAUAUUUUUGAAGGAGAAGAGCAAUUUCUUUGAGAAGUUCAAGAGGUUUAAGAUGAUGGUAGAACAUGAUUCAAAGCAGAGGGUAUAGAGGAGGAGAGUUUACUUCUCGAGAGUUUAAUGAGUUCUGCGAUCAAGCAGGGAUCAAACGUCACUUAUCAGCUCUGUACGUUGAGGCAGUGAGGCAUUCAACGUACAUAUUGAAUCUUGUGGCUACUAGGGUACUUAAAGACGUGACUCCUUAUGAAGCUUAUCGGGGAAGUAAACCUAAUCUAAGUCACAUGUGAACGUUCUCAUUAGCUACGCGAAAGUGGUGAAACCACACCUGAAGAAACUGGAGGAUAGAUCAUGAGUGCUUUACCUGCUACACACACGUGCGGACCUGUCUUACUGUGUAGGAGUACCUAGCCGGUAUAUGCAUGACCGAAAGAAUCUCAUGGAGCAGCAAUGAAGCAAUGCCUUAGAUACAUACAAGGAACCACGAGCUAUGGUCUGACGUUUGAGAAUACAACGGCAGGAACUACACGUCUUGUUGGCUAUUGUGACUCAAGUCACAAUGUGGAUCAGGAUGAUGGUAGGAGCACGACAGGUCAUGUAUUUUACCUAGGCAAAAGUCCUAUAUCAUUGUGUUCGCAGAAGCAAAAUAAUGUGGCACUAUCUUUCUGUGAAGCAGAGUUCAUGGCCGGUACAGAAGAAGCUCGUCAGGCGAUUUGGUUGCAGGAUUUACUUGGUGAAAUUAGUGAGUUACUAUGCAAGAAGACGGUCAUAGGCAUAGACAAUCAAUCCCCCAUUGCGCUCACGAGAAACCCAGUGUUUUAUGGCUGAUCAAAGCACAUAUAUACUCGAUAUCAUUUUAUUAGAGAAUGUGUGGAGAAAGGUUUGAUAGAAGUCGAGCAUGUUCCCGGGACAGAGCAGAAGGCAGAUAUCUUGAUGAAAGCACUAGGAAGAAUCUAGUUCAAGGAAAUGAGAGAACUCAUUGAAGUUCGAGACUUGUCGAAGAUGGAGUUCAAGCUUAAGGGGGAGAAUGUUAGAUUAAGCUUGAAGAAAAAAGAAAACAAGAGAGAGACCUAAUCCUACCGAGAUAUGGAAUUAGAUUAUGUUUAGGAGUUAUCUAAAUGUAAUGACAUGAAUAUCCAAAAUUAUAAUUUUUUGUGCUCUAUUUUCUAUAUUUUAUUUUAUGAUUUACUUGAAAUAUUUUUUUUGUUACCAUAUUUGUUCUAAUUGUGUAGCAUUCCUAAGUAAUAUGAAACUUUAAAUAUAAAAUUUAGAGUUUAACAUGUUUUAUUAUAUUUUAAUAGUUCACUAGAUUUUGAUCGGCUUUGCGAGCGCAUAAUAUUCUAUGAUGAAAUUUUUUACUAAUAACUUAAUAAAUAUUUUGUUAAUUUGUAAAAACCAAAAUUUUUUAAAAAUAUUUUUGCAUUUAAGUCAGUGUUUUAAAAAAUAUCCAUAUUUAAAAAAUCACUAAAACCCGAGACUAGCUGAUUGAACCGAUGGAUGACCGAUAUGUAAUCCAAUUUGAUUUACAUUAUUAUAGUUUCAUAAUUUGUCACUUUUUAAUCCAAAUUUAAAGUUCAUUUUUUUGAAAUUUUAUAAAAUUAUGACGUUUCUACAAAAUUUGAUAGAGAAAAUGAUAGAUAUCAAAUAAUUAAGAACUAUAAAUAUGUCUUGAACAUAUUACUCCUUUUUAUAUAGCUCAAUUAAUUUUACUGUAGUUGUUUUGUGUAAUUUAUCUUGUUAAUAAUUUGGUUUAUAUUAUAAUAUUGAACAUUUUACAUAACUAUUUUUUUAUUAUAUUAUUGUACAAUGUAUAAAUUUAUAUAUAUAUAUAUAUAUAUUUAUUUUAUGUUAUGGCUAUUAUUUAAUGAUUCUGUUACUUCAAUAAUAUAACCAUUGUUUAGGAAAUAUAAAUAAAAUAAUCCAUUAAUUUAAUUUAUUUAUUAUUUAAUUUUUGAAGUAUUUAAACCUGUAAAAUAAGUUAUAUUUAUUUUUCGUUGUUUUAAAAAAAUUUGAAUUCUUUUCAUUAUUUAAUUUAUCUAAAUAAUUUGAAGAAAAAAAUUUGUUGAAAUUAUAAAAUGAUGAUGACUAAUAUUUUAUAUUGUUUUAACAAAAGAUUAAUUAUAAUGUUGUUUGAAAACAUGGAUAGUAGUAUAAAGAAAGAAGUAUAUUGUUUGGCAAUACGGAUAGUAGUACGAAGAAAUGUAUAUUAGUGAUUUAAUGUAAGUUUAACUAUAAAGUUGAAAGGAAUUUUUAAUUUAAAAACUUACAAAAUAAACGUUAGGUCCAACACACUGUUUUUGUUUUAAUAAGAUAGAUUUGAAGUUAUUUUGUAAAAUUUUAGAUAUAUAUGAUAGAUUUUGACUAAAUUUGAUUGGGUUUGCGUAGUUCGUGUCUUUUUCAAAUCGUAAAUACCUGAACCCGAUUACGGACCCAAAAAUUACGGGUUAUUUAUAUGUAUUUUAAUUAUAGAUCUAAACCGACCUGGAACCGAGGAGAAACUAUCCAAACCGAAAUUUUACAAAUACCUAUUGGGUCCAAAUUUAUAGGACCCAAAGGAUCCAGACUUGAGAGGAGCACCGGCCUGAACUUGACCCUAAGAUCUGAAUGCCCAAGCUUACUAGAGGGUUAAAUACAAAUAGAACAAAAAAAAGUAUAACAAACUGGAAAACCUUAUUAGAAUUUGGACAAAAUUUCAUGUUUACCACUUUUUUUGUAUCAUUAUUCUUGUUUACCACAAUUAAAGAGAUAUUUUCAAAAAUACAUUCUUCAUUAAGAUGCAAAAGACUCUUAUACCCUUGUUCUCUUUAUAUAUAAUAAAUAAUUAUAUAAAUAACUAAAAAACUAAAUAUAUAUAUUAAUAUGUUUUCGAAUUAUACUUUUUCAAAUUCGAAUUUUUAUAAAAAAAAUUUUGAAAUUUUGUUUUUCAAAAUUUCUCUUUGAAAAUCGUAAAUUAUUUUUGAAACUAUUUUAAAAAAAUUUUAAUAUAUUUUUAAGUAUUUAUUUAUAUAUUUAUUAGAAUCCUAAAUUUCAUAUUCCAAAAACCCUUCUCCACCCCUCAACUCUAUAUUUAUAAAUGUUUUUUUGCUCUUUAAAAGUAAGGGUAAAAUGAUUAGUGUAAACAUGAAAAGUUGUAUUAUGAAUAUGGUAUUUUUGGCAAUUUCCCUAGAAUUUGUUCCCAUGUAUUAUUUAUGAUAACAUUUCAACAUUUUAACUAAAAUGACUCAAACUGUAUGUACAAUUAACACUGAAUUUUUUUUAAAAACUUUAUAAGCUUAAAAUAAUUUUUUUUUAAAUAAAGAAAAAUUGAUUACAUCAAAUGUAUAUAAAAAUUCUGUUAUUUUCUGGUUGUAAAUCUAUUUUACGAUAACAUAAACUCUAAGACACAAUUGAAAAAAAACAAAUCAAAAUUAAAAUUUGGAAAGUAUUACACAUUUUCAGCUUAAAUUGGUGUGAAAAACAACUAUCCAAAAUUUAGGUAUAAAUAAUAUGUUACGCAAAAAUUCAUGAGAAAUUCCAUAGAAAGACUUAAAAAAGUUUUUGUCACAAAUAUUAACCUUAAAAAUAAAAUAUGACCAAAAUAGACUUAAAUGUUUUAUCAAAAAAAUUAAAUAUACACUUAUACCCCUAGGAUUAAUUAAUCUAGACAUUAGGUUUUAGAGUUAAGGGGUGUAGUUUAGGGUUUAAGGUUUAAUGUUUAGGGUUUAGGGUUUAUAGUUGAGGAGUGGGGUUUUAAGGAUAGGAUUUCAAAUUUUUUUUUUAAAAACAAUUUUCAAAAUAAAAAGUGCUAUUUUGGUCAUUUUUGUUUUUGAGAUCUAUUUUUGUGACAAAAACUUAUAAGGGUCUAUUUUUUUGCCCAAAAAUCAUAUAUAUAAAUAUUUGGUUUUUAAUUUAACUAAUUCAAAACUCGUAUUCCGCGCAUAAAAAAGCUCUAGUAAAGUUAAAGACUAAUCAAUAAUAGUUUUAUAGAACAAUAUAAUAAUAAAAAGAGCAAUAAUAAUGGUGGAGAAUAAGUUUUCCGUAAAACAAAAUUAGAAAUUGUAUAGUAAAUAUAUUAAAUGUAUCUUUUUAAACAAUUUUAUUUUCUAAGAAAUGAAUGAUUUUAAUUGUAUUUAUUAAACUUUGAUUAGAUAAAAGUUGUGGGAAAGGGUCAAUCACAAAAAUAAUAUAUUUAUAUUAAAAUUUAAAUAUCUAAAUGUCUAAACUAUCAAAGUUAUUGAAGGAAGUUUCACAAGCUAAGCUCAUUCAUAUACCAUAGACGCAGAAUUUAAGGACGGACAGUCUCGCACACAGUGUAAGAAAUCAAUCGUAUUUUGCUGUCCAUAUGGACGCGAAGUUACUAGUUUGGUUUAGAGAGUCUAUAUGAGUUUAUUUUUAAGUUGCUGACAAAAAAAAAUGUCUAAAUGUGACAUCAUUUUGAAACAUAAUGAGUGAUAAAGAAAAUAUUUUAGUGGAUACAUGUAUUAAUAAUUAAAAAAAACAUUAGUUUUAUUUAGCAAAUUUACCUAUAAAUUGCUGGCAGCAGAAAAAAAUACUAUACAUGGAAUGCGUUCAAAUCUAAAGUGUGGAUCAAUUUGAGUUUUUAAAAAAAUUUAGAUAGUUCUAUAAGAAUUAGAGAUAUGCUUUUGGUUAAAUCAUUUUAGAGUUUCACCUAAAAUCAUGUGAUUUGAUUUUUUUUUAACUUACAAACUUUAUCCAAAUACUCUAAAAUCAAUAGUAAACUUUGGAAAUUCACAACUUAAAAUAUUGUCAAUAACACUCAAUUUCAUAAUACUUUAUACCCCAUCAGUUUUAUAUUAAGUAUCGUUUUAAUUUUUAAAUUUUGUUUCAUUAUAAGAGUCGUUUUAUAAUAUUAAUGCAAAUAUUAGAUGUUUUUUCCAGUUUUUUUCUUAUUCUUAUCUCGUUAAUUAAUAAAGCCAAACAAAAUCAUGUUUUAAUUAAGGAUAAAACAGAAAAUUUUAGCAUUUUUUUUUUAAUUUGUGUGCAAAAACCUUAAAUGAUACUUUUAAUGAAAUGGAUAGUGUAAAAUGUCAAUUUCAAUAACUAUAAAUUUAAAUAAUUUUGUAAUUAAUAUUUGAAUAACAAUCAAUUUAUCAUUUUAAUCGUACAGGUUACUUUUCUGAAAACAAAAAUCAUAAUCCAGGCUUCUUAGCCAACGUGUACCAUCUCUCACGUCAUUUGAACGGACGAAAGGAAAAGGUCAAACCUCAUUUACACUUAUAUGUGAGUCAGUAGAAGAUUCUUCUUCGGUUGACAAAAAAAAAAGUAGAAGACAUAAAAGAUUGUUCAAUUAUUACAACGUAAUCAGAUUAGUCAGGUCAUAAACAUGCACCGUAGUCUUUAUAUUGAUUAGUAGGCCUGGGCAUUCGGUGGCCCAUUCGGGUUUCGGGUCGGGUGCAAUCGGGUGUCGGGUUUUCGGUUCUCCCAUAAACAGCUCCAUUCGGAUCUUUUAAAAGUUCGGAUCGGUUUCGGUGUGGUUUUUAUCGGGUUCGGUGCGGGUUUUGCACCAUACCAAAGAACCAGUUGUACCCGAUUAACACUUCGGGUGUCGGAUCUUAAUCGGGUUUUGGGUUAAGAAACACUAAAUUGUACUAGGUUUAACACUAAUUACUUGCUAAAAAGAGCUAAGACAUUCUCUUUGUAGUCUUGUGCAUCAAGAAAGGUUCAAACGAGCUAAAUAGAAACUAAGACAAUCGGGUGUCGGGUUUUCGGUUCUCCCAUAAACAGCUUCAUUACCAAUCUGUUGUAGAUUCGUUUUCUGACCAAUUAAGAACGACUGGUGUUCUUUGCAAAUUUGCAGAUGCUGCUUCAGGUUCGACGUUCCUGACUUGGAUGCACAUGAAAAGAUCUUGUGGCAAUGGUGACAUACACACUUGUCUCGGGUCUCUUUGGUUCUUGUGAAAUGCUCCCACACACGAGACCUUGGCACAACCAACUUCUUCACCUUAUUCGCCUGAGAGGAUGAUCCAGAUGCGGCAUUCGCAUUAGCACUUGUCUCUUGGUACUCUUGGUCUUCACAUUGCAUAUCAACCUCGGUUUUUUGGUUAUCGAAAGCUGAGGAUGUCAUCUGCAAAAAAAAAAAAUUAUUAGCUUUACAGAUGAGAUUGAAAACAAUGGAAGAAGUGAAGAAUUAAUAUUAGUCUUUUGCGGUUAACAUAUAUCAAAAUCAUAAACGAUGAAGAACUAAGAUCAUAAACGAUGAAGUGAAGAAGUGAAGUGAAGAACUAAUAUUGAAGAACUAACAAGAAGAACUAACGAUGAAGAACUAAGAUAAAAGAACUAACAUCACAAGGCUUAAUACUUAUUACACAAACUACAAUAAGAAUAAUAAGGUACAAAACGCUUUAAGACUCAUCAAAAUCAUAAACGACAACUCAAGCUUCAUAUCUAAGUCUUUCAAACUUAAGACUAAAAAGCACAAGCUUUGAACCUGAAUCUAAAAUUGAAAAGAAAGAUACAUGAUUUAAAGAAAACUAAGUACCUCGGAUUGAUUACUUUCUGCUUAAAGAGGUGGAAUAGCUUGUGAAGUCUAACGAUACGCAUCAACAUAUAUACGAGAUGGACAAAGGGUUCCAUCGAUUUUUCGGGUUAUGGAAAGGAUUUCGGAAAGAAUAUACGGAAGUUGAGAUUUCGGAAAGGUUUGGUUGUGAUUUUCGCAAAGGAUCUUGCGUAUCUCGGUGUAAUCGAAAGAGGGAAACAAAAGGGGGCUAGGGUUGUGUCUGAAUGUCUCGAUGAUCUUCGGGUUUCGGAAGUAAUCAAAUGGUUCUCGGUUUUCAACCGAACCGAACCGACCACCAUUACACCACGAAAACUCAAACCGUUUGAUUUAUUUAGAAGAUCCGAUACCGAACCAAACCGGUUUUAUCGGAUCGGUUUCAAUGCGGUUGUUCGGUUCUCGGGUUAUCUGCCCAGGCCUAUUGAUUAGAAAGUGGCUAUAAAAAUUUAGCAAUUAUUACAACGUAAUCAGAUUAGUCAGGUCAUAAACAUGCACCGUAGUCUUUAUAUUGAUUAGAUAGUGGCUUAUAAAAUUUAGCUGUUAAACUUCGAAUAGUGACCAUUGUCCCGCUCCGCCCCGUAGUUAACAGUAACAAAAAUCUCUAUAUAUACUAUAUAUCUAUAUGUUUUUAUAACUGUUAAAACCGCACCGCAGUUGAACCGCUUGUCCCGCACCACUCAAACCGCAAUCACCAUUCAGAGCCAUAAAUAAAGAUUUUUGUUGUAGUUUUUUUUUGUCAGCGAUUUUUGCUGUAGUUAAAUUGGAUAUAUUCGGAAGUUUUUGAUUAUACAUAUUUUAAAAUCAUUUAUGCGAGAUAUAUAUAUAUAUAUACAUAAUUAUUUUCAAUUAAAAUCAUUUAUAUUACUAAAUAAGUCAUCUAUUAUCAAAAUUUACUAUCAUUUUACGUAAUAAAUAAAUAACAGUUAUAUUAUUUUAAAGUAUUCAAAAGUAAAUAAAAAUUAUUAUCGUUAUAGUAAAAUUAAUAUCUAAACAAUAAUAAAUUUAAUCUAAUAUUGUUUAAUUUAUUUGAUAUUAUAAAUAAUUUUCUCAAUUUUAUAGAUUCUACAGCAUAAAUAAUAAAGAUGUAAAUUGUUUACUUAUAUAAAAAAAGUUUUCUUUAACUUUUUUUAUUUACCUUUAAAAUAAAUCUAGAUUAUGAUUGGUAAAAAUAAAUAGAAAUUUGAUAUAAACUUUAAAUUUUAAACUAGAGCUAUUUAUAAUUAGCAAAAAUUAUUGAUUAAAAAAAUUAAAUAAAAAUUAUUAUGAGAUGGUGAAGAUGCUUUCAGAAUCAGAAGAAUGACCAGUUUUUCAAGUUAUUUGGAAGACAAAGAUUUUGAAGAUGAGUUUCAACUAGGGGUAGGCACUUCGGUUAUUUUUUCGGUUCGGUUUGGUUAGUUUGGUUCUAGUAUUUUUCCAAUUGAAAUAAACCAUAGUUAGUUUGGUUCGAUUCGGUUUGUGUUUCGGAAAAGUAUCGAAAACAUUUGCGACGAAGAAAACUCGGGAAUAGAUGUAGCAUCGUGCACAUUAAAAGGAACACUUUCCUCCCGAUGGUUAGCUAGAUCCACCUCUGGUUGACCAAUUCAUUCAGAAACUAAUGUGUCAUGAGAAUCCUCUCAAAAAACUUAUGAAAAACAUUCUACGACUAGAUCGUAAUGAAAUAAACUUCAGUAACACUCCAUGAGUAACUCCAAGAAAUUGUCACCUAAGAUUGAAAUCAUUGCAGAAACUUUUUCUCGUAAAACCCGCAGAAACAACACUACUUUGACAUAUGAGCCGGUCCUAGAAUUUAAAAGACUAGAAGAAAAAAAAAAAGAAAAAUAUGGCCACUUUUUAAAGAAAGAAAUAGAGAUAAAAAAUAAAAAGUAAUAGCUGCCAUUAGCCGUCGAACCCGUGCUCUAUAGAUAAUGUAGACAUACGAGUUUACCACUGAGCUACAGAGAAUAUUUAUAAAAUGUGGCCGAAACUAAUAAGUAAAAUAAUCGGCCGCAAGCGGGAGCUUCAUCCGCUUCUACCAAAGGCCGGCACAAGACAUAUGUAUACAUAUCACCUAUUUACAACCUUCGUAAAACCGGUUCCCAUUAUUUACACGAAAAAUCCUUCGUACAAUCAUAUCAAGUCUUACGAAGAAAAUUUCUAAAGUUAACAUAACAAGCUUUAUGAAGAAAUAUGUUUUGUAUAGCAAACGCAAACCUGUAAGAUCUGAUUUUCGAUGAUCAAUCUAAACUUUAUCUUUUCGCAUUACGAUCUAAUAGAUCUCCUUUUUUAGCCCUGCGACUCGCCAGCUUCUGCCUUUCUUUUCCCUCGGUCACAUCCGAGAAGGCAGUCAUCCCGCCGCUGACACCAUACUGGUUAUGUAGUAAACCUCUUGGGCGUUGUCUUCCUAAGACAAAAAGACCCGAUUUUCAUAAGACUAUAGGUCACAUUAUACGAAAUAUUCGUCGUAUAACUGAAACCCAGAGCAGAGAAUAAUUUUCUACGACUAUCGGCCAUAUUAGCACAGAUAACUCUGGAAAACUUAGCCUAUCAAUCUCGACAAGCGCUCUUUGGCCCUCAGUCAAUUACGCCUUCCAGUAAAGAUCCAAACAAGAUAUUGCCAUCCCCUUUAAAGACUAUCGUAAACUAACAUGACCUUAAACGUUAAAGUACCAUGGUCUAAUCCUUGACCUACAACAUCCUUGGCUAUCUGAGUGAACACAUCCUUCACGCCAAGCCAAACUAUUUGAGAAACCAUCGCUCCAUCACUUAACGGCUAAACGACAAUCUACGAUUUGUCUAAAAACGUCGCGUGACUAUUAAGAGAAUAAUUAUCGUAUCACCCACAGUCGGAAAUCAUAUGAUAAAUUCUUCGUAACGAAACUCAGUCCUAACAACCAAACGGUUAACGGAAAAUCUAACUUUUCGAAAAUUGACCAAGUUCAAUACGCUCCACAAUUCACUUUAAGCCUGCAACGUUUUACCCAUAAUACGGGGCAUGUAAGAAAAAAUUCGAAACAAAGCUUCUAGAGCUAUACGAAACAUCAUCAAAAAUGCACAAAAUAGAUCUCGGAACGCCAACACUUCACAAAGCACUAUGAAGGAAAACACUUCCUCUUAUGGACAAAUUUACGCGACACCUCAGUCCUAAUUCCUCGAUCGCAAAUCAAAUUAUUAGCAUCCAAACAGGAACAACAAUUUUGGCUGCGAACAUCCAUAGUCAAACUAGAAUGUUUCUCAAACACAGGGCUAAGAUUAAACCUUUGCAACAUCACGAAACAUCUUCAAGCCCGCGAAUAUUUCAAGCACGAAACGCGGCAAACGAAAGAAUAACAAAUCUUCAGCAUCGCGAGACGUCGUCGCAGACGCCUGAAGAUUCAUUCUUCGACAAAAUUUCCUUCCUCAAUAAAAACACCUUCUUGGAAGACCAGACAGUCAUACGAACUAACAUCUUCUCAAAACAUAUCUUUCGCGAAGACUCAAAAUGGUAAUUUUUACCAUUAAGUUUGUUGCUGAUCACAACAAACUCUUAAUGUCCUAAACAAACUUAGCCAUCUCAUAGAGAUAACUCUCGUACAUCCGACACAAGGCUAAUAGCGCUAUAAAAGAAACCCAAAAUUUUCGGUCAACACUUCCAUGAGGCUUAAAAAUUGUCCUUGGAGAGAUGCUCGGUCCCAACCAUACAAGUCGUAUAAGCCAAGAACCUAUCGCGGACUUUAAAUCGGUAUGGAAUCAUGAUGAAAUUGAAAUGGGAUAUGUAAGUCAAAUUAGUCAUCGCACCCUCUAAAACCAAGAGUAAACCUAGGUCUUGCCCUAAACCCAGCGCACUGGUCUGUAACAUCUCUAGGCAUAGUUUCAAACACCUACGAGAUCCCAAAAUUUGUCUCUUUUCCAAUAUUCGAGCGUAUUCAGAAAUCCCGCAAGUUUACACACUGCAGAAAACUCUCGAAACAGAUCACAGAUAUAGCAGUUCACACAGAGUUAGAUUACGAGAUGACAACUCGUAGUCUUUCUUCUACACCUAUAUAAAAUUCCAUCGGCAGCAACACGCCUGAUAACCUCUACAUAUAAACUAGACCGUAAAGGUCUCGCUGGAAAACUAGUCAUAAGAACCUUAACUCCAAGACGAACUAUGAAAGGCUUGAUCCCUUCAACAAGGGUACGUAGGCAGCCGUCAUAAGGCGCAUCCCCAAUCUUAUCGCGUUCUACUUUUAGAAGAGCGAGAAGACCACUUACCACGGACCUUUUCAACCAUUAAUUCCGCCUAACUCACCUGACUCGCCUAACUUGCCAAGCCACUCGCUAGAACCUCACGCUAGAAGAUCAUGGUUCUAGCGAGCUAGAGGGCUAACUAAUGGGGUCAAAAUCGGUCAUGACGGAAUGAAUGUCUGAAAGUCCGUAAAACUCAGCAUGAACAUUUUUCCGAAAAGUAAUUUUCGUAAAGAAAUCUUUACAAAGAGCCUUGCGGUAAAAUCUUAUUUGAAUCUCGGUCGAACCAAAUACAGAUUAUCCCAAGACAACCGACACGUAUCCGACUGGCCAUGGACGAGCUCAAGCAAGAUAAUCGGACCGCGGACAAGCCAAGCUCGAUCAAUACGCAGUGAUCAAGCAUGCACACGGCUCGGCCGCUACGUAGAGACCGAGCUCGAGCCGCUCGAGCUCACGUAGCGACCGAGUUAGGAACCAAGCUUGGUCACUACCUAGUGACAGAGCACAUGCACAUUUCGAUCGUUACGAAGCGAUCGAGCUUUCCCAAAACAUCGAUACGACGCGAAUCCAUGCAUUUCGUCUACUCUUUAAUGCUAUCUCCCGAAGACCGUAGCUGAACCAUUUCAUGUUUCUCGUUAUUCGAAGUCAUCAAUCAAACUUUACGAUAAACACUGCAGAAAGUUUGUUUUUAUCAAAGAAACCGUAAUAAACGUUUCGAGUCAAAAGACGGUCCAAAGAGACCUACGACGUGACUCGAAGUCCACUUACGAUUUCUUAACCAAAAGUCCAUGAGCCGUAGGAUGGUUUAUGCUUGGUUCGGAAAAAAAGAUAAAUGUCAAGUUUACGCGGAUAAAUAUGAAGUUUUCGAAUAUAAUCACGAAGAUCGGAAAAGACGGAAUAUCUCUAUUUUUGAGCUAUUACGGCUUAAGGGCAGAAAGGGAAAAAGCGUAAACCGGCCUAGGAGUGAGUAUAUAAGGAGUUCUAGGCGAGAGGCAGAUGGGAGGAUUUUCUUAGAACAAACUUAGCACUUAGAGCAAUUAAGCAACUUUUCGUUUUUGUUAUUUCGAGCUGCGACUCAAUUAGGUUUAGCCGCCUUAAGGUUUUUAGAACUAGGAAUCUCACCGACAGCUCUCGAGCCCAGGCAAAUACCUUGUUGUAAACGCUCAUAGGCAAAUUUGGAAUAAGACUUCUCUUUGCUCUCUUUUUAUGAUUCCUUAUAGUUUAUCGUUGUUAUCUCGUGUUCUGAUUGCUUGGCGUGUGGUAUUAGCAGAUAUCUGGGACCUCUGGGAAAUAAGGGUUUGCCUAGUUUCCUAAUUUAAACGGAAAUCGACAGUGCGAAUUUCGGUUCCCACAUUCGCCGACAGAUCAGUCAAGUCACCGGUGGGUAUUCUGGAAGAUCUCCAUGUCCGACAGAUUUUGUGGUUCUGGAGGUUGAAGAGGAACCUAGAGAUCCACUCAUCCUGGGUCGUCCUUUCUUUUGCACAGCUGGUGCGAUCAUUGAUGUUCGACAAGGAAUGAUUGACCUUCACCUAGGGGACAUUGCGAUGAAGUUUGAGAUGAACAAAUUGCUGAAGAAACAGAUGCUGGAUGCGCAGACCUACACAGUUGAGGACGAAGAUCAAGCACUAAUUUCUCAAGAAGGGAUGAUUGAGGAAAUCUUGACCGAUGAUCCACUCAAAUUAUCCCUGUUCCGUUCUGAGACCGAGCAUAACGUCAUGAGCGUAGACACGGAUGGCUACAACAAGAUGCUUGACUUUGCCAAAAGCAUGGAAAAGCUUGUCACCUAUCUAAGUCUGGAGGAGAAAAACGAGAGCAAUCAGAGCAGUGCAGCUGGAGCAGCCACUUCGAAAAGCGCUACUUAGCCGAAUAUGAAACUCGACGAUCCGUGGAACGAUCUGAAAGCUUCAAAGAUCGAGCUCAAAUCCCUCCCUACGGGGCUCAGGUACGCAUUAUUGGGGCCAAAUUCCACUUAUCAUGUUAUUGUAAACUCAUAACUGAACAAUGUGGAAACAGCUAGACUUUUUUUUGAACUAAGAAAGUACCAUAAGGCAUUAGGUUAUUUUCUAACUGACAUUCAUGGCAUUUCACCUGAUCUUUGCAUGCGUAGGAUACACCUAGAAGAUGAAUCGAUGACUUCUAUAGAACAUCAGAGGAGGUUAAAAUUAGUUUUUGGUAAGUUGUAAACUUAUAAGAAUAAAGUGUAGACUGGUCCUCUAGAUUGAAUCUCAAAUACUACAAUUACCAUUGUUAACUUGACAGUAGGAAAUGUUCAGUUUUAGUUUAUCAAUUUAACAUUCAUGUUUACAUAUAUAAGAAUAUAAAGAUACAAACUUUUCUAUUUUGUUAAUCAAAUAUUUUAAUGAUUACAUAGUCGGUUAGAAGAAUAUAUGUUAAUAAAUGAAAAAUGGAAAAUACGUGGUAUGGUAUUAGAAUUUUAGUAUAUUGGUAUUACUAGUAUUUUUAGUUUAAAUAAUUACAAAAAUACAUUCGGUUUCUCGGUUCGGUUCGAUUUAAAACCGAACCAUUCGGGUUGGGAAAAUCUUCAACCGAAUGGUUUGAAAUAGAAUUGGAUUCGGUUUUAAUCAGUUUCGGUUCAGUUUGACUCGGUUCGGUUCGCUUUUUUUGCCCACCCCUAGAUUCAAUAGCUAAGAUCUCAUUCAUAUACCACAAACGCAAAAUUUAAAAGCGGACAGCAACUAUCGUUUGUUGUUUAUAUGAAUACGAAAUUAACUUUUUAAUUUACAAAAUUUAUAUGAAUAUGUUUAAAUUGCCGAUAAAAAAAGAUAAAAUAAAUAAAUAAGGAUAAAGAACCGAGGUAAAUUUGAACCAAUCACCCAUUAUGUUCGACAGAAAGUCUUCUCGUAAUUAUGACUCACAACGACAUUAGACGCGGACACCCAACUUUCUUUACAAAAAAAAUUCAAACACCUAAUUAUCGUAUGCAUUCAAAUCCAUGUCUAUAACAUGAACGUUUAAUUUACGGUCGAAAAAAAAAAAAUUCUGUGAAGACCAUAUCUUGUUUACAGAAAAAAAAACCCUGGUUAUUUAACUAACGGAUAAAGCGAUUGAAUUUGCUGAUUUUUGAAAUAUAUUUAUGUUUUUAAUUAUUAUUUUAUUUUUUUAACGUUUGAUUAAUUAUGCUAUUACAACGUUGAAAAAUAUUACAUAGACGAUUUUACAGCCGACAGUUCUACCACCAUAUGAAAAUACGCCUGACUGUAUUACUCCGAACCGUCCUAUGAUAUACAUAUUCGAUGGUAUGCCAUGCACCAUGCUGAAGACCUCAUAUAAUCAUUUUUCUCUCUAAUCUACAUAAUUUGUGGUUUUUUGGGAUUUGAAUCCCAAACCUUUUAAUGUAAAAACAUUAAUGAAUCUUUAAUCAAACCACUAGAAUAAAGAAGCUUCCACUAUUAUUAUUUUUUUAUAGAGAGCAUUUAUGUUUUUAAUUGAAUUGUAAAUACUUCCAAAUUUGAAGCUGCAAUCUUCUCGGUAUUUUCGAUCAUUGAAAAUCAACCAAUACAUAUUUUCUCAGUCUUUGGAAGUAAACCAAUACUCGUUUUCUCAUCUCACUCUAUAUAACGAGUACUAUACCAUAACGAAUUAACAAGUAAGAAAAGGAAAAAAAAAGUUUUUAUCAUUUUAAAAAUGGGGAAAUCCUUUGCUUUGGUGAUCAUUCUCUUAUCUUUUCUUCUUCUUCUUGUCCUUCAAAACCUCGAAGUCGUUAACGCCGUCGGGUGUACCGGAAGCUUUUACAACGAAAACAGCACUUACGUUCAGAAUCGCGACGAUAUAUUCUCUACUCUUCCUGAUAAAGUAAUCGCCAACGGUGGAUUCUACAACUCUUCACUCGGCAACAGUCCCAACAGAGUUUACGCUCUUGUCCUCU